rnacentral:lncRNA from 1 species
AGAAGAAAAAAGUUCACGGAAUUCUUUCUUCUUGCGAACUAAAAACUGGAAGAGACUGCCUGGGAAACUUCGCUUAAUAAAGAGAGUUUAAAAAGGUCCUCCCUCUAGGUAAUUUGCACUUUCAUUCAGAGUUUUUUUUUUUUUACCGCUGUGAAUUCAUCGAUGUUAUACUUCCACGUUCUACCUUCAUAACUUAACAAAAUUUCUCGCCAUUCAAUGCUAAAAAAUUCUUCCCCGAGUCCCUUCAUGAAAAUCACGUCCAUUGGACAAAGUGGAUUCCGCAGAUUCAAUUGUUAUAAUGUUUUUUUCACGCCGUUUGAUUAUAAAAAAAAAAUGUUCGGGGUGAUAUUUUAAAAGUGAUUUACUUACAUAUGUUUUAGCCGAACAAAUUUUUUUAAUGUAAAAGAAGUUAUAGGUUAAAAAAAUUCAAGCUCUAAGUCAUUUAUAAAAAAAAACAAUAAAAGUAAAUAAAUUGACAAAAAAACAAUGAGCAAAAAAAAACCACACCGGAUUUAUUAAAAGACCUGUUUGGGAGUGUAGUUGUGGUUGCUUUUCAAAGUGUUUUUUGUGCUAAAAUGCAUUAAAAUGAUAUUUUUAUUUUUAAAAAUUUAUUUUUAAAAUCAUCACACCAAAACGAUCCAAAACACAUAAAAAAAUAAUUUUAAGUAAAAACAAAAAUUGAAUUUUUUGAAAACGCAGGUUGGCCCGCGUUUCCAAACUGGCUCUUAGAUUAUCAAACAACUCAAUGCUAACCUAACUAAAGAAAAACCAAGAAAAAAAAAGAGUCAAACUUAAUAAAAAAAAUUGGAAGACAUCAGCAAAUAUAGGAGAACCUCUUAUAUCCAAUACAAUCUAAAAAAUUACAAUUUGUUAAAUCAUGAACCCGAGUUCAAUCAAUAAGAUUAUAUGUCAUCAAACAUAUAAUCUUAUUGAUUAAAAUAGAGCUAAAACCUAAUAUAAUCAAACAAAAAAAAUAAAAAAGACAAAGUUAGAAAAAAAAGAAUUAAACAUGAAAAAAAAACCAAAACAAUAGCUAAAAAAACAAGAUAAAAAUUAAGAUAGUAUCAAUUUAGAAAAAAAAAAUAGGGUAAAUCUCUUAAACCUAGUCUAAUCUUUGAAAGUUGCACCCCGUAAAAUUUACCUGGGUUCAAUUAAGAAGCGUAAUUUUCAGCAAAUUUAAUUUUGAAGGAAUGGAUUUAUAGAAAAGUAUUUUAAAAAACCUUGUGAAAAUAACAAAAAGAUCAAGGAAAAAAAUUGAUUGGAAAAAACCAUGGAGGAUGCAAGUUUAAUGAAAAAAAUAAAAAAUAUUUUGGAAUAAAAUAAAUAUUAAUUAAAAUAAUAAGGACUAAAUUUAAAAGAUUAAAAAAAUCACAUGAUAAAAUAAAAAACAUAUGUAAAAAUCAAGCAAACAUUUUCUAAACAUGGCCAGAUCUUAAAAAACUCGCAACCUAUAAAAUUUCAGAUACGGGUCCUGUCAAAAAGUUCACUGCAAGCCAAUUUAAAAAACUUGUCAUAGGAAAAAAAAAAACACAUAAAAAAGCCUUGAGCGAACUCAGUAGCCAACUCGAGUCAACAAAUCAAACACAUGACAUACGACAUGAAAUGGGAAUGUCCUUGUAAACUGGAAAGCGAAAAAAACAUAUUUAAAAUAAAAAUAAAAAUGAAGGAAAUCGACUCAGGCUAAUCUUCAAAUCUAUCACCCAAGUCAUGAGACUGUGUUUGACUCCAUUUAAAACAAACCCGAAAAAACAAAGAAGCAAUAUUCUUGAUCAAGCAAACAUUGAGGGAUGCAAUUAAAAAAAAUCAAUAAAAAAAUAAUGUGAAACAAAAAAAAAUAGCAAUGAAAAGAACGAGGACUAAAUUUGACAUAAAAAAUAAAUCAAAUUAAAAUUCAAGGAAAAAAUCAAAUAAAAUUAAAAGUUAAAGAAUGAAAUUACACAAAACAAAUCCAUUAAGAAAAAUGAUUAAAAAAUAGCAAUUAAAAGAAUUAUAACUAUAUUUGACAUAAAAAUAAAAUGAAAAUAAAUGCUUGGAGUGGAAUUAAAAAAAAAACAAAUUAAUCAUGAAAAUGACCAAAGACAAAACAAAUAGAAAUUAAAAAAACAAAGACUAAAUUUAAAAACAAAUUAAAAAAAUCAAAUAAUCAUGAAUGAAUUCGAGAAUGAAAUCCAAUUAGAAACAAUCAAUGUAAAUAAAAUAAUUGCAAAUAAGAAAAGAUAGACUGAAUCAAGAGAAAAAAUGAAUUGAAGGGUUGGUAUGGUUUUUUGCAUGGCAAGCAUAGAAUAUAAGGGAGAAAGAGAAGGGGAAGAAAGAAAAAAAAGAAAAGCAAUUUCAGGUCAAACAAUGUUGAACCAUGAUACACAUAUCACUUAUAGAGAAAGAGGAUAUCAAGACAAAUUAAAUGAUAUGGCAGAAUCAUGGUUACAACCGUCAGAGCCAGUCACAUGUGCCGCUAGAAGGCGGCGGAGCGGCUGAGACGAGCGAGACACAUACCAACAACUUUUUUAUUUUAUUUUUGAAAAAAACCAAAAAUACCAUUAGAACUAGACAAUAUUAACAAACAAACCAUUAUGAAAUUACAACCAAGCUUUUUAAGCUAAGGCUAAAUUUUUUUAAUUGUAAAGAUAAUGUAGUAAUUCAAUUGCCAUAUAAAUUUUGAAAAUACAAAAAUGUUCAUAUGCAGAUGAUAUUAAAUUAUUUUAUUAAAGGGCUGCAUUAGUAUUUUGGAUAAUGUUGCGUGUACUAAUACUGGAAAAAACUGAAAAAUUAGUAUUUUGGAUAAUAUUCUAAAAUAAUAACAAAGACUAUGUGUGUGUGUGUAUAUAUAAAGGCUCAAAAGAUAAGUUUAGUUUUUUAAAAAUUUAUUUUAAAUAUCAGUAUUUUAAAAUAAUCUAAAAAUAUAAUUUUUUUUUUUUGAAAAUUAAAUUUUAAGAAAACAUGAUUUACCAUGUAUUCCGCUCCAUCAACUGUAGUUGCAAAGGCCCCCACGAAAUGCACCGGCAAUCUCUUAUUAUACUCCAUCCCCGUGCCUCCACUGGGCUCCAUGCGAGGCCCCGCCUAUUGUUAAAGGCCAUAGUGGGCCUAGUAAUAUAAAUUAUGAAAAAACGUAAGGCCCAUGUUUGACCAUAUCUCGUACGGUUGGCCCAUAUCCAAAGUAUCAUGGUUGGAAGACGGCUUCUUCUCUCUCUUUCCCUUAUCGGCAUAUAUCCAUAAUCCAAAGUAUUACGUGCCUGGCAAUAUUAAUCUUACACGCAUCACUGCAAGGUUAAGCACAUUCAACCACCACCACAUCUUUUUGGCCUUUUUUCUCCCUCCAGGAGGGUUCUCCAGGUUAUUGUGGGCUUUGCUACUAGGAACGGGCUUUGUAAGAUGUCAAAGGAGUCAAAGGACGGCCACGUCCUAGCCAUUUCCACAAAAACAAAAAGAAAGGCCACAAGACUUGGCCACCAAAGAGUCAGGCUUUAUAACUUGGAUACUUCGGGGCUUGCUGUCCUGGAGGCCCACUACAACGGAACUCCUAGCAAUAUUUUUUGCCUUUUUUCUCCCUCCAGGAGGGUUCUUAUGGUUUUAAUUCAAGGGAAGAAAUGGGAGAUGAGAUUUAUUAUGAAUGUUCGAAUUUGAAUGCUGAAAGAUUGCUCAAGACUUGUCGACCAAGGAGGCGCCUGGUAGUGUUAGUAAAUUACAGUAUAAAAAUCGAUACAGGAAUAUCUGAAUUUUGAAACAAAAAAUAAACACAUGUAUUAGACCAUCUCUUAGCCAUUUGGAAAGUUCUACUACAAGGCGGAUAGAAGUCCAACCAUUCAAUUAAUGUCAAAGCAAAUUAGGUGUUAGUGCAAAUUAACAGUUGCCGAUUAUACUAUCGAGAGUGCUUCAUUCUACCAUAUCAUGAGAAGAUGUUAUUCAACUGUGAAAAUUCUUGAUGAGCUGACUCAUGCCUUACCCACUUGGGGUUGGUUCAGUUUUGUGCUACAACUGCUAGUUGACCCUUUUUCACAGCUUUGACUUUGUUUUCAACCCAUUUUUAAAGAGGGUAAAACCUUGGUUUUGACCGGAGGUGUAGCAUUUUUUUGCUCAGUUGAUGGAAAAUCUUCGGCAAAGUUGAUGUGGAUAAGUGGUAGAUCCAUGGAAAUUUUCGAUGCCAAUUGAAAACCAGGACAUUACAGGCUAAUAAAACGGGGAAACUAGACAAUUAGUCGGCUUCGGCACAUAGAUUUGAAAUGAGCUGAUUUUCUCAAAGAAAUCUUACAUACGGGGCCGGAAACUACCUCUAUUUGUUGACUAGAAAGUAGAAGCCUUUGCUGGUUAAUCUCACAAACUUGCGCCCCUCUAUAAGACAUAAAUAUCAUAAAUUAUACUACAAACUUGAUACUUGUUAUGGAUGUUUUAAUUUGAUGAGCAUCCUUUGUUGACAAGCAACCACGCAAGCACACGAAUGGUGUGUUGACGAUGGCUUUAUAGACUGCCGUAGGGGUUGAAAUUUCAGGCCAAAAUGUUUAUGAAAACAAGUUUCUAGAAUACAUUUUUAGUUUGCUAGUUCGAUAAGAAAAAGGUGGUCUAAUUAAAUAAUUUAAAAUGUUAUCUAAUUAAUAUUGUUCGAAGCGGCAUCCAGCAGUACAGCAAAGCACAAUGGCUUGUAACGACGUUCACAUGUUGAUCUAUUGUCUGGUUAAACAAUGCCAGCUUCUGUUAUUUACUAGGUUUUGAUCAAUUCAUCAAUGCUGUGUGUGCAUAUAAUAUAUUACGGUAAUUGUAGCACGGGGUUCUAAGCGAGCUCGUUUCAACAUAAUCCAUUAUUUUUGUUGUGCUUUAACCAACCUAAUGUCUCCAAACUUGGGGUAUAUUUAAAAAGAAAAGGGAUGCUUCAUCUACUUUGCUUUCCACUUUUCGGGGCAUUGCUGAGUUCAAGCUCUUCAUUCUGUCUCAAGCUUUUGUUACUUUCCUCUGCAUAUAAUAAUACCGCAUGAUUUAUGAUGCAUGCACACAACCUUGCUUGCAUUAAAUCACAGAUUUGUGCCCUCACCCGUGGAAAGCAAAAGGUGAAAAGUGAAAAGUGAAAAGGAUCGUCAUUUUUUACAGUAAAAUCAGGUGUCAAUGACUGUGCAAUGAUAACAGCCAACAAACAUUUUAAUCGAUCCAAGAAAAAAAAAACAAAAAAAACAAGAUAACAAUCAAACAAUAAGAUCGUACCCGGCCCCUUGUGUGGAAUUGCGUUUGGAACACUAGUUAAGUUGAUUUAAAUUCACUGAUCAGUUAAAUAAAAUAAUAAAAUAAAAUAAAAUAAGAAAUUUAAAUAAAGCAAAGCAAAACAAAACGGAAAAAGGAAAACCCAUUCAAUUAAUUAUAAAAAAAAUGUAGCAUGAAUUCGAGAUAUAUAUAUAUAGGAUGAUUUGAUAUCGUUAAAAUUAGAAUUCCUCCAAAUGAAGACUUAAAACAAUGCAAGAUAUUGCAAUUUAAGGGAAGUGUUACUCCACCAACUCGAUGCAAAGUGAAGUUACAAACUGAAAUUCUACAACUAACCAAUUUAAACUGUUUUUUAUAUAUUCAACGAUCAGGGAAAAAAAAUAAUCAAUCCUUUUCAGACCAUGGACCGACUGAUCAUCGCUGUUGCAACAUUUUGUUUCUUCUGCUGACUUUUUGUAGCCAUGGCUGCCGAUGUUUUCCAACCAGCUUGAUUAUAACUUAAACAAUCAGACUGGGACCCGUGUUUUAGUCUACAUAAUCAAAAUAUUAUGGACUUUCACUUGCCUGACCAUGCUAAAUUUCUAAUCUUUCUUCAAAAGCACUUGGUGGGUUUUGUUAAUAAUCCAAGGAUUACCAAAACAAAUGGUUGGUGUUACCGGAUACACAUCAUGUGAUACGUCUAAAUUGAGGGUUGCCCUUCUUAAUUAUAUCUAAAUUAUCAUGUAUUCCACCAUGCUUAAAAUUUGAACAUAUAUACGAUAGUAAAAAUCUCGAAUUACUAUGAACUGCUAGCUAAGAUAGGAAAAGAGAGGGGUGGCUAAUAAUGUUGGAGUUAAUUAUAACUAAUUAGUCCCAUAGUUUAAGAAUGCUAAUAAAUUAGUCCUCCUGGUCUUUCAUGAAAGUAAGUAAUAAAUUAAAAACAUCAUUCUUUAUAGUUUCUGAAACCACAUAUUUAAUUAAUCUUCUUUUUUUGAUCUAUUAAUAACUCAAUUCUUCCAUAAAUUCUAUGCUAUUUUUUAUUUUAUUUUUUUAUUUUUCUUUAUUUUUCGAGGAAAAAAAGAGAGGAAAGAAGGUAUUUUGAGGGUGGUAAAUCCUGGCCAAGAGAAUAUUCCAUAAAUAAUCAGUAUAAAUAGACUAGGCUAUAAUUAACUUAAAAUAUUGCUUUUUCUAAAAAAAAAAAUAUGGCACAAUUAAUUAUACCCAUCUAGAAGAGGGGAAUAUUUUAAAAGGUGGUUAAUCAUGGCAUAAUACUUUUACAUAAUUAGGAAGUAAUUAAUUAAGUUAUAUUUAACAAAAACAAAAGUAAAAAUAAAAAAAAUCCAAAAGACAAAGGUCCUUUUACAACAUGGACUUAAUAUGAGAGGAGCCAUUGAAUCUGGACUAGAGUAUCUAUAUGGUUUCUUAGUCAGACUUAUCACCAUAUAUAAAUUCAUGCUCGAUCUGUAAUAUCAACAUCCGAGGCCAUAUUGAAUAUUUAUUUAUUGCUUUUUUUUUUUUGUUAAGCUGCAACUGUAGUUGCACAUCCAUUAAAAUCGAUGACGACUUCAUCUCUUUCGUUGUUAUUUUCAUCAACCAUCGUCGUUGUCAUCAUUGCUAUCAGAUCAUACUUUUACCUGUAAAUUGAUCACCAACUGUUUGAUGUGCCAGUGAACUAUUUCUUGGACAAAUACACGUCGAUGAUCAAUAUCUGGAGCAGGGAUCAGCACAGGAUUGUUGGUUCCAGGGCCCACACCAAGAAUGUAUACACGUCUUAUUUAGCUGCAUAGCAUUUGCUCUGGUGAUGGAUGUUGUUGUUAUUUGAUAAUACUGAUCAUCACUAGCGAUUUUCCUCUAAGUCUAGACUUGAGCGAUUAACCAAAGAAAAAAGCACAUAUUGUCAUAAGACACGACAAAACUCAAAGCUCUAAUUACUUAGAUGUCAAUGUAAUUUCGGCGAACACAAGUAUAAUUCCCACCAUAUGCAAAAUGCAGACGUGAACCAAUUACAAAUCGACACCGACUUGUGAGUAAAAUUAAUCAACAAGUACCUGUAAUAAUUAUGUAAAUCUGAGCACCGAUAGUAUUUUGCUUGUUGAAGACAAAGAAAUAAGACUCAUCAAACCCUUUGAAGGUCACCGACGUAAGGUGAUGUUUCAUUAACAUGACCCUCAAAAAGAAUUGUUUUAUCCAAUUAGCAUGUGUCGAUAAGCAAGCCCUCGAACACGUGUUUUUGCCAAGUCAUCCAUUCGUAUGAUCAGAUCUCCUCCUCUCUCCAGCAAAGGUGGUAUGAACUCGACUGAGAAGACGGUGAGCAAUGAAAUCCAAAAUGAUUAAACUAAGCAAACUUAUUUCUUAAACCCUAGUGGUGGAACAACACGCUCGGCCAAAAGAAAAUGUUGCUAACCAAUCAAAUAGCAGCCCCUCGAAUUAGAUAAAUAUAAAUUUGUCAAGCGUGUAGAGUUAGAAACCAACAUAGUCACGUAUACUUAAUAGACAUGACAAGGGCCGAGGGAACAAACACUCAUGCUUUAGCCUUAAAAAAAUUAUCUUUGAUGAAGGCAUGCGCCUGGGAGUGGAGACGAUGUGGGUCGUCCUCUGGCGGCAUCUUGAUCAUUUACUUCGCUAAAGAUGUCUGACUAUAAAAUUCGAGGAUGAAUUAAUUUAAUCAUUAUGUUGGAUCCUAUUAUAUGUUUAUUAAACCUAUUUCGUCAUGAAGAAUGCAUGUUUCUUGCAGAGAAGAUCAGGUGCUGUACUGUUCACACGUAUCGGAUUACUUGACUAGUCCUAUUCUGGACAAGGGACAGAGAAGCCAAUACAUAAUCUUAGUUUAGAACUUGCAUAAUCGUAGUUAAGGCAUUAAAUUAAAUAAUUAAUUGGAUAUAAAACAGUGAUUAUAAAAAAUGGACACUAACAUUUCUAAUUUGGUGUUCUAACUGUCAGUAUUUUUUAGUUGGAUUUUAAUAUAUCAUUAUAAGGAUGAUAUAUAAUAAUAUCUGAAUUUGAGAGGUAUAUGUCAUAUCAAUUGGGUGGAUUUUCUUGGAUAAAAUCUAAAAAACUAUUUGUGAUUAUGUUUUUUGUGAUUUCCAAAACUCAAACACGAAGUCCAAAUCUAAAACAAUAUCUCUAUAUAUCUUUUGUACUCUCUGUUUUUAACUUAUUUAGCUGUUUUUAAUGAUAUAAUUAUGUCCUAUUAACGUUUUUACUUGUAUAUAAUUAACAUUAUAUGUUCUAACAAAUUUAAAUAUUAUUUAUUCAUUAAUUAAGUCUUUUGCAAAGAGAGUGGAUCGAUGAGUUACGAUCAUUCAAAUGAAUAUCUAAAACCAUAACCCUAUGAAUAUAGUUAUCCAUAUAUAAUCCUUAUGUCUUAGAUAAUAGAUAAUGCGAUUAUGAGUAUUAUCCAAAACUCUGAGCAUCCAUUGACAAACCAUCCACAAGUAUAUAUUGGUGCAUUGACAGUAAAACAUGGAGAAUAAUUAUAAUUAUGAUUGAAGCCAAGUCCUUAAGGAUUAGUAGAUGUGAACAUGGCCCUUGUAUGCAUACAAUUUCUUCCAGCAUUAACCAAAUUGCUUUCAGUACAUUUAUAUAUAUUAGUUAAUUUAGACUAAAUUAACACCGUAAGUUUUGUAACCUUAAGAUAAGUGACAAGGCGCUUGACUAUAUGAGAACGCGGAAAGAAGAUUACUGACAUAAUCUGUAUGUCUACUUAAGAAUGUUUCCUUCAUUUUUAAUAGCAUUUUUUUAUUAUAUUUGUUUAAAUAACAUUUAGAGUUUGAAAAUUUUGUUUAAGCUUAAUUUAUUUAAUUAACAAGAGAUCAUUCAAGUACAAUGAAUUGUAUGAUUCUCAUGACGGCUUUUCAUCCUUAAAUAGAAGUGUACGCAAUGUUUUUCUAACAAGGCAUACGCUUGUCAAACUUUGGCGAAACUUUUAUACCUAACAAAUACGUCUUGGAAGAGAAAAUUAUACGCAUGCUUCUUCAAACAGGUCAAAAAAAUGGCGAGGCUAGAAAAAGGUGUGUUGCAACAUAUAUUUGAGUCAAAGACGCUUCAGCUUCGGAAGAAGAAAAGAAGUUCAUUAAUUGUAGUAUAAUAUAACUGUAAUGAUAACAACAAAGAGAGGAGCACUAGCUAUACCUAUUGGUGGAAGAGGAUAAUAUUAGAUAAUAAUAUAAAUUAUAUUUUAAAAUUUUAUUUAAUAGUUUAAGUUAUUGAGUUGAAAUGAUUAUAUAACAUGAUAUAAAACCUUAAUGACCAAGCGGUCACGAGUUUGAAUCUCACAAUUCCUAUUUAUUUGAUAAAAAUUAAAAACAAGACAAUAUAAACUUAAUUUUAUUUCAAGUUUAAAGAGUUUUCACUUGAGGGGUGACGAGGGAUAUUAGAGAAUAAUAUAAAUUAUAUAUUGAGACCUCACCUAACAACCUAUACUAUAUAUUAGGUUAAAAUGAUUCUUUAACAGAUAAAUAAAUUCCAUCUUUCAUCAAGAACAAUAUCGUGAGAAAAAAAGUUUUACUUGAGGUAUGAAUGGUCUAUCUGAUAAAGAUAUGACUGGAAAGAAUUUAGCCUUAAUCAAUGAAAACUAACCCGAAAAUAUCAUCACAAUAAAAAAAAAAAAAGAGAAGGCUAGCUGCUAAUUGAUUUGCUAUUUACAAGACGGAUAGAUAUGAAGACCGUCCAGUGGAAAUGCCAACCCCAUCAAUCCCUAAAACCCGCUUAGCUUUUGACUAAAGACGAAACAAUGGAUGGUGUCGCUCUCAUGAAUCUAAUUUAUCCCCUCUUAAUGCUCUUGUAAUUCUUCCCUGGGCUACUGGAAUUCCAUAAAACAGCUGACUUUAUCUCGAAACAAAAAUUGCUUAAGCUGGUAUUUUUUGAGCUUUAUUUGCUACCAUAUAUAGAUUACGGUAAUUGAGUAACCACUGGUGCUUCUAUUACUGGAGCUAGGCCUCUUACUCGCCUCACAACUCCUUGUAUAGUUGAUUUCCACAAAUAGCUUCUUGUUAUUUGGUACAAUGUCAACAAUAUAUACAUAAAAAAUUAUUAAAGUAAGGGCCAAUUAAGCUCUCGCAUCAUAUAGUAUAUUAAGAUAAAAGCUCAGUGAAGCUCAUUCAAUCGUUGAAAUUGAGUUAUACACCAGAAACACCAGACUGUUUGAUUUAAGAUUUGUUUUUUCAGUUCAUGAGUAGGUGAUAUCCUAGAGUCCAUUUCCCUACAGCGUGUUAAGUCUAUUUUUUUUAAUCUGUUGAGAAACAAACCAUCUGUCUGAAUUCUGGGUAAGAAUUUACACUUGCGUAUCCAGUUAUGAUGAUGUUUUAUUAUUUGUACAGCUUAAGCUAUUAAAUAAUUGAGUUCAUAAGAGAUGAUAAUAUAUAUAUACACAUGCUGGAUUUUAAUGUAUUAUUUAUAUAUUAUUUAUAUGUACAGGAUAAAAAAAAAUACAUGAUUUUAUAUAUAUAUUUUAAGUGCACGCAAAACAACCAUGAAAAUGAAGUCCAUUCGCCCAUAGCACCCAGUUAGAUCUAACUCGAAGAGUUUUGGUUUCUUGGUGGCCAAUGCAAAAAUUAACAAAAAGAAAUUUGGGUGGUGGGACACAUGUCAAGAAAUCAGAGUUUUCUUCUUAUUUGUUUUUGUUUUUGUUUUGCCUUUUUCUGCAUCAGCCCCCCAUUUGGGGGAGUAUAGAAAAUGUCCUCUAGCAAGAAUCUGUCUAAAACCUUCACCUUUUCAAGCUUUUUUCACUCUUCACCACUACCUUUACAGCCCCCUGUAGCAUAUAUUCCCAGCAAGAUGCAAUCACUGCAGCAAAGGUCAUAUGUAUGAUGUUUUAAUUCGUGAUUAAUGGUUGUUCUUUCCGCAAGAAGUGGCCAAUAUAUAUAUAUAUAUAGUGAUUUCCUCGUUGAAAAAAAUGAAUGGUGUUAGACUUCACGGAAAAUAGACAUCGUUGAAAAUAAUAACCUUCUCGUAUUAAUUAAGUUGUUGUUCCUUUGAAAAACACGUUCUCUCUCUCUCUCUCUCUCUCUGAAUUUACAGACAGUACGGGAUACUCGCACUUCAUUUUAGGAUGUCACAAGCCCACAACCGAUCCACCACUACUUAGGUUGGCCACACUCGAACAUGUUAGUCAUUUUAUCGACCAUUAAGCCAAUCUAAGUCUAAAUGUACUAACAGGGGAUGUCAGAUCGAGUAGUUAUGCAAAGGUAAUGGGAAAGGAAUCUUGGUCCUAGCUAAGCAUGAUCAUGUUCCUUCCUUAAUUAAUUAACACCAAACUAGCUAGUUGUGGAGGAAAAAAUUGUGCAAGUGACAAUAAAUAUACUUAGAUAUAAAUAUUCCUAUAUAUAUAUAUAUAUGAAAGGUGAUUCAGAAAUUGGAUGUAGAAUAUGUUACGUUUUUUUUUUUAAUAUGCAAGAAAUUUCAAGGAAUGCUUUGAUCUUUGCAGGGGGUGUGGCCCCCGUUAGUUUCCUUGGCUCCGCCACUAUAAUAAAGUUUUGUUUUGUAUUAUAUUAAUUAUGGCGAACAUGAAAAUUGAAUUUCCGGGUGAUUAUAACUUAGGAAGUUUCAUUAAUUAUGGCCCCCCGUUAAUUAUGCAUUGUAGGCUCCAACACCACCAUUUCUCACAAAUUAACAAUGGAUGUUUUAAACUUUUUUAACAGAUACUUAGCUUAAUUACUGCAAAUAAGACAAGGGAUGUUGAAAAAAAUUACAUAAGAAAUUGUGCUCAUCAUCUAUUCAUCGAUCAUAAUUAGUAAAGAUUCCAAUGAAAUUCGCUUCCCCCUUUUCAUUCUUCUUUUUCUGGUUUAAAUAAUGAGUAAAGGAUGCCCGUGUAUCCUCGAAAGCGACUUGAAUAACAUCAACUAAAGAGGAACAUGAACCUAGGUUACUUCUUUUCGAUAGACAAUCGAUUAGCAUACUUGAUCAUGAUUAAGCUUCAUUCACAUGUACAUUCUAUAGGCCUCGCCAACCUUCUUUUUUUUUAAAUUAUAACCUAUUUAUAUAUUUCUCUAUGUGUUGUUGUAGUUUCCACUUUUUAUCGUCUUCUUAAAUUAAGUACACAUAUCCUUGCUGAUUAGUGCCACUACCAAAUGUCCACAAAUGGGUUGAAGGGUGUGAUUUUGAUUAUACGGGUCCCUUCACUAACAUCUGGAAUUUGGCAUGUUUUGUGCGCGGUUCGUUUCCUUUUCUCUCUUUGUUGCAAUAUUGUAUGUUCUCUUUGCUUUGCUUGGUAGGGUGCUAAAAUAUUCUAGUGGCAUUCGAAUCUCAUUGGGCUGCAACUUCGACUGCCAUCUUAAUAAAACCAAAGCAAGCAAAGACAGCAUUGAUAUCACUCUCCGACCAACCAAAAAACAAUUUGCAGAACACAAAAUCUCCCCUGCUAUAAGAGACAGAAAAGGUAUAUUGGAUGCGGAGCAAUAACUUUAAAAAGUAGCAAAUGGCAUAUAUGCAUGGCACAAGCUAGCAAAAGUACUAUUUUCUUUUAGCCCAUGAUUACACGUGAUCAUCAUUUCAUGCUAUGAAAACAUUUCCUCGUUUUUGGUUUAUCUUAUCAUCAUAUCUUCUACAGAAUAUAUAUUAAUUUAUUUUUUAAUAAUAAUCCAACCAGGUGCAUGCCCCCCCCCCCCCCCACACAAGAUAAUUAAAUAACUCAUUCAUUCGUUGAUAUGCUUUUGGUGUUUGUUGCUUUCGUUUUUUUAACCUUUUUUUUUUUGUAGAUCAAAACUACCCACGAUCAGUGGUUUAAUUGGAGAAUAUAAAGUGUUCACAACACAUUUGGAAACCUUUCACUUAAACUUAAUGGAUAAUAAGCCCCCCCACCCCCCAAAAAAAAAAAAAAAAACAGAACUCCCUUUUUUACAUGUCUUGGACUCGACGUCUACCGUGCCUUGAGGUUGGAUUGUUAUUAUUAUUUUUUUCAUAAAAAAUGUUGAUUAAAACUCAUGGUAAAAAAGAUGACCCUAAGAAAAGAGUUCAGUCAACCCACUAAACUCGCGGUUCAAGUUAUAAGAUCAGAAUAAUACAAUAAAAAAAAUCAUAAAAUCCAUUUAUUUGAAAAUGUUAAUAUUGAAUGAUGAAAUCAGUAAAUAAAAUAAGUAAAUAAAUCAAAAAAAAUUAAUGACAACCCGUGUUAACUUUUCAAAUCUCUAACACAAAUCAUUAGACCUGAAGCACCCCACCUAUGAAAAACGAUGAAACUCAAUCUCCAACCAAUUAAAUAUUGAAAGAUAUAAUUAGAAAAUAAAUUAUACAAGAGGAUCGGAAAAAAAGUAAAAGAAUAAGGAUCAAUAUUAAAGUAAAAAAUAAAUUAGAGGACAACUAAUUUUUUUAUUGAAGAAUAAAAUUGAAUCAAUUAAAUAUUGAAAAAAGAUGAUGACUUGAUACUUUCAAUGACACAAAGAGAAACACCAUUUUAAAGGAUAUAGAUGCUUCUUACACGCAAGAAAUGAAUAAUUUCUCAAGUUAUACAAAUAAGAAAGAAAAAAACUAGAAGUUUUUGACAAAGAAGCAUGCAACGAUUAAGGCUAGAAAAGUUAUAAUUAAAUCGUCAUUUGCGUGCAAUUAACAUUCAUUUUAUUAAAGAAUCUACGUCGGUGCUAAGAGUUUCAUGGAGAUUUUGCUUUUGUGUUUCUCAUCUUGUGUGAUGGUUUUAUGGUAUGGCGAUGUGGUGCUGCAAAUUUGUUCCUGGCCACGACAGUACCGACAUAAUUCAAAAUUUGUACAUUUACAAAAAUGAAAAGGCCGGGGGUGUUCACGGGUUGUUUCGGCGGGUUUGAUCUGAGAGAAUCAAAGUUUCUAUCUAUCUUUAGAUACAUGUAUCAAUUACCACGAACCUUGAGAUAAAUAUAUUUCACUUAUUGUAUUUACAUUUAAAAUAAUAAAUUAAUAUGGACGGUAAUGUUAAAUGCAUGUGUUUAGACGUGUAUAAAGUAAGAAACAUUUUGUGAUUGAUAUAUAUAUAUAUAUAUAUAUAUAUUUAUCACAAGAACUUGGCUAAAAAAUUAAGAUGAUAAUGAUUAAAUAAUUGUCAAAUCUAAUAAAUGAACGACUCGAUCUAUUAUUGUUAAGUAGAUAAAAUUUAAUUAAGGGAUAAAGAUGUAUGUUAUUAAAAAAAAUUAAGUGGUAAAUAUUAAUUUAGGCUGAUAAUGUUUCAAUGGCUAUUUUUUGUAAUAUAUUCAUCAUAAAUCCUUGUAUAUAUAUAAAUACAUAAUUUUAACGUAUUUUUUUAAUAGAUUGUGUUUCAAGAGUGGUGGCACCGUGUUUGAUGAGUUGAACAUUAAAAUAAGAACAUCACUUCCCCUUCUUCUAUUGCAACCUUUUGUUUUUCAUUUGAAGAUUAGAGAAACAAGUAUCAACAAAUAUUUUUUAUAUAUAUUUAAGAUUUUUUUAUAAUGUGUCAAAAUAUUAAUUAUUUAAAAUUUGAACAAAAAAUUAAUUUUUUAAUGUUUUUUAUCAUUUUAAUGUUUUAAUAUCAAAAAUAAAUUUUAAAAAAUAAAAAUUAUAUUUUUUUAAAAUAUUUUUUUUAAAAAAAAUAUUUUAAAAUAUUAAAUCCACUGUGCUCUUGAAUGAACUCUUAAAAUAAUGAAAUAAUCUUGAUAUAAACUCCUACGACACAGGUUCAAUGUUAAUGUGGGGGGAAAGAUUGAUGAAAGGUGGAGGGGCGCGGGGGGUUUUUAUCUUGUUGCAAUUUUCUUUCUUUCUCCGUACCAUCCAAGAUUUUUCCUUUCACAUCAUCGUCAGGUCCCAACAAUGCACUUUAUUUACUAAUUUUUAAUUAAACUUAAUAUAAUAUUUUAUUAAAAAAAUAACGUCAUCAUUUAACCAUUUUCACCUCAUAACUAAUUGUAAAUCUGAACCAAACACAAUCUUAGUUAAAUUCUUAACUAAUUUACUUUCACAAAUACUAAAUAAUUUUCGUUUCAUGUGUUUUUAAAAGUUUCGUGCACUACUUCUAAUUCUCACUACGAUCUCAUAACUACAAAUAUGAAAGCAUGGCGUACCAGGGAGUAGCCUGUAGGCAACCCUGCUUAUGUAUUGAUUAAUAGCGUGUUUAAAAAAUAUUUUUGAAUUUUUUAUUGUUUUUUUAUAUAAUUUUUUAUUUUUUUGAUGUAUUAAUGUUAAAAAUAAAUUUUUAAAAUAAAAAAAAUUAUUUUAAUAUAUUUACAAGCAAAAUAUAAUUUGAAAAGUAAUUACUAUUAUAAUUACAAACACACUGCCUAAAAUUAAAUGGUAUAUAUUUAAAUUUCUUUAGGACAUAUCUUCUUACGUGGUGAAACUUCAAAUCCUUUUAAGAACUUUUUAAAUUAUAAAUGAUCCGACACUUUUUAAGUUUAUGAAUUCCAACUACAUAUUGAAGAAUUUUAUCAAAAAUAUAUGUCUGCCCCAAUGUUACAUGAGAAAUGAGAAAUUUUAUAGUGCUUAAAUUAUAAUUAGUUGUAUUUUCUUAAUUACUGAAUGAGAUUUACUUUGCAAAAAUAGAUAGAUAAAAAUAGAAAAGAGAAACACUAUAUAAAGAUAUUAAUUAUUAUUGAUGAAUCAUGGAUUUUAUUCUCCCUUUUCUACUUGUAUCUCUCUUUAAUUUUUAUUUUUUAUUUUUUUAAGUAACUAAAAUUACGUUAUCACAAAAAUUUUCAUAGUCUAUUUACUUGUUAUUUUUUGUCAUUAACACCCUCCUCCCUCGUGUUUUACCUAUGAUUUUAAAAACCAAUUCGACAGAUCGACUCAGGACCUAACCGCUCCAAGGUCAAAACCAUGUUGGAUUAAAAAAAGAGAGGAAAACAAAAACCCGAGUAACUCGGUUAAAAAUCUGCGUUAACUUGGUAACCCAACAAGAUUCAUUUAAAAAUCCGGUUGCAACUCAAAGACUAUUUUUUUUUAACAAAAACAAUAUUUUUUUAUUUUUUUUAAACCGGGAAUUAACUCAAAAUAACCUAAUAAUCCGGUUAAAACUCAUGACUAAAGCUUGGGGUUGGGUCGACUGCUGGACCUGGUUAAAAACUAUGAUUUUACCUCUCCCUCCUUCCUAGGAAAAUUAAUAUAUUAUUAAUUUUAAGAAUAAUAAUUAUUUAAAUUUUAUAGAAAUUUAAAACUGUGCUUUAAAUAACUCUAAACAAUCUCUUAGAAACUAGAAAUAAAAAAUUAUAAAUAAGUUAAAUGAUACGGCAGCAACGUGCCAAAAAACAAGUUCCCUUGAAAUCUCCAACGAAAAUAAUAUUAAAAUCUUAAAGGUAAUUUUUUAAUUUCAAGACUUUAACUAUAUUGUAAUGAAUUAAAAAAGUUGGCGGGUGUAAUAAAACUGGAAAAAAAAAAACAAUUAAGAAAUUGUCUAGCAUCUACAUAUCCUAUCUGUUUGUGCUCGGUCCUGAUCAGUUUGCAUGUUUCUUCUUCUCGAGGGAUUUAAUUUUUGUGGGGAUUUAAUUAAAGCAGCAAUUCAUUUAAGCUUGACCCCGCUCUCAAGGCAAUCGAAACAUUCAAUUAAAUCGGCUAAUUAAAAUGACACUAAGCACUGUAUACUGCCUCCGAAGAGAACCUCUUGAAAACUUCUGUAAAGUGUACGUGACUUUUUAUGAACGAUUGAUCAUGGAUAUUUUCAGAAAUAUCUAUAGAAAGAGUUUCUUUAAUCCAAACUUAUAUAUAUAUAUAUAUAUAUAUAUAUAUAUAUAUAUAUAUAUAUAUAUAAAAUUAAUAAAGAUGCAAAAAAUUAAAGGGAUAAUAUUUUUCUGUUAUACUUUAAAAAAUUACAUUUUAUAUCAUACAAUUUACAUAUUAUAUAACAUUUUACAUUCUUAACAUGCCAAAAAGGUAAAAAUCUGAAUAUUUACAUAUUUACAAUUAUAUUUAUUUUACUUGUUAAUUAUAGAGUUCUUGAACCAUCAAAAUAACAAAAUUAUCAUUAUAUUCAUUUUAAUAACUAAAUUCAUCCUAGCAUAUAUACCCAGAAAUUGAAAAGUCUUAUGAACACAAAUUAUUUACAGGCAUUUCAUCAAACAAUUCAUGAGCAUCCAUUUAACCAUCACAUUAAAUAUACAUUUCAAGAAUCCGAUUCAAAAUGUACAAAUAAGUUCAUUAUCUAGCGGUGAAUGACAAUUCAAAGGAGAGAUAACAAUCUCAAAACCCGUAGAUCAUUGUAUGCGCACCCAUAAAACCUCAAUAAAUCAAAACCAUUCCAUUCCGAGAAAGUACAGCAUACAAGAUUCUGAAGCCAUUAGCGCAGGUAGAAAACAAAACUCAACCAAAUCGUAAUCUACCCCAGGAAAAAAAGAAGAAGAGGAAGAGGGAUUCAUAAUAAAACUAAAAGACUAUCCAAAGAUUUGCGACACUUUAAAAAAAGAGAAAACAUACAUAAGCACAAUUUGAAAAAAAAACUCUGCGGGUAAUUUAAAACAAUCUCAAAUCUAGAACCCAGAUUACUCCAAUUUGGUAAUUUUUUUGUAAAACCACAAUCCUAGACACACUGCGGGCAGCCUAAAAAUUGUAGAGUUUAAAAAAGGGUGUCUAGAAAGGUGGUGUGGUUGAGUGUGGUGGUUGGAUUUUUUUAUUUUUUUUAAAUAUAAUUCAUUUAAUGCACAAAAAGUCACCAUCAAGAUCACAUGUUACAUAUUUUUCCUUGCCUUUUCUUUUGUGGGUUCUGUAAAAAAAACAAAACACAUCUCACUAAAUUUCUAUGCCAGAAACACCCUACACGUGUAUCAAUCCACAUUAUGCUUCCAUCAUGGAAAAUCAAUAAAUUGUGUCGAAGUUCUUUACUAUGCACGUGCGAGGGGUACCUUAUCAGAAAAAAUAAGAUGCAAUAGUUUAGUAUUUCCAGUUUUUAGGGUUGAGUUGUAAAUCCCAAGAGAGAUAAAGCCACACGAGAGAAAGUGUCUAGUGUGACUGUGUGAGUGUGCUUUUAUGUAUUUUACAUGAGGGAAAUUUUGUUUUUUUUUAAAUUUUAUUUAAUUUAGAGCAUAUAUAAAUCAUACUUUCUCAAAGUAAAACGAAAAGAUAAAAUUACGUUCAAAAUUUAAAUAUAUUGUAAUUAUUCCAAAAUUAAAUCUCAAAGCAGAGUGUGUGUUGUCAGAAAGGCAAUAGCUAGGUUGGGGCUAUCCUAAUUCAAAGCAAGAUGAACGAGUAGAAACAAAAUAAACAAUAAAUGGUGAUAAUAAUGGCGAUAAAGACGCUUCUAAGGCAGUGGAGACAUUGAUUUGAACAACAGAGUCCCAUUUCUUUUUCUUUUUCAGUUAAAAUGUAAUUGAAUGGCUUCUAGCAAUGAAAUAUACAGGAUGACUCAACAGCAACAACAAUAACUAAGUCUCGGUUUUAAACUAGUCCGGGAUGACUUUAUGGAUUCUUCCACGCUGCUCCAUGCGAUUAUAAAUUAAAUUCGCUUCAAUAUUAAGAGAUCUUAAAUCCUUUGUCUCCACAAAAGGGGCAACAUAACAUGCCAAAUUAACACUAAUUCAGUAUAAUUAUGAAUCAUAUUUAAAGAAAUGUAUGCAUAAGUUUAUUUUUGGAAGAUAAAUAAUAAUAAAUUUAUGAUAUUUUUAUUAGACCAACAAGUUUCGUUUUAAAAUUUUUCUUCUAUUGAAAAUUUAUUAUUUACCAUACUUUACAACAAGUUUCAUUAUAUAGCCUUUUAUUUUAUGGGAUUUUUUCCCAAAACAUUUUUUUAGAUUUUUUGAAGAAAACUAAAGAUUUCUUGUUGAAUAUAUAGUUAUUGUAUUGUUAUGUGUAUAGUUCUUAGAAAAGGUUUGAGCACCUCGUUAUACUAAUAGUAAUCACUCUUUUGAUUUUAAAAAUAUAAAGAAUUAUACUUAAUUUCUACUUUUACUGUCAUAAUUUAUUUUGAAAGUAAUUAUGAUUAUGAUAUAGUAAAUAAAAAAAUUUAAUUGUUUUUGCUUUAAAUUAAUAUUUUUUUAUGAUUUUAAUUAGGAUGUGUUGGUAUAAAAAAAUAAAUUUAAAAAAUUUAAAAAAUAUUAUUUCAAUAUAUUUCCAAACAAAAAAUACUUUAAAAAAUAAUCAUUAUCUAAAUAAAUCAUUCACAAGAAAAUGGAAAAUGGAGAUUGCUCUUGUUUGAAGAGGAUAAACACCAAUAUUUCCGAAAUUUGAGAAAGAAAGAGAAAAAUGUAGCAAUAAUUUAAUUUUUAAAUAUAUACACAUAAUUUGGAACAUAUUUUUUAAACCAUAUCAACCGUGUUGAUUUCACAAGACAUCAAUAAUCCAGUAAUAUGUUUUGAAAAUUCGAAAAUUCAUUGAAGGUGAAUAGUUUGUAAUUUUUAUUUAUUUUUUUAUUUUUCAGAAGUACCCACUAUCACAUAUCUCAUCAGCUUAAAUUAAAUCACAUAUACUAAUUUUGUUAUCAUAUCAAAAUUAAUAUAAUUUAUAUUUUACAUCUUAGUUUGGAUGAUUGUUGGAAAAAAAACUCAGGCAUAGAAAAAGAAAGAGGGCAGCAAAGUCAAAGGGUCAAACUUCAAAGCCGCAUGGGCACUCACUGCCAUAAUUAAACUAGCAAGCUUAAGUGGUAAUUAAAUAUAGCAUUAGUUAAUUCAAACACCCCAUGAGUUCCAAAUUGCGGCUUGCUCUCUUCUCUAACUAUUUCUCAAAUAAUUUCAAACCCAUCUAUACAUCUAUAAAACCCCCCACCUUCUCUGCCUUCCUGAAUAAUCCACCUCUCUCUCUUUCUCUCUAAAAAUCCUCUCUAAAGUAAACCUUUCUUUCUUUCAAUCAAUUAGUUUCUCCAGUUAAGGGAAAUACAUGUUGAUGAUGGAUGUUAAAGGCAACAGCAACAGCUCCUCCUCCACCACACAAAGUGAUGAGGAGAUGAUGGGUGACUUAAGAAGAGGUCCAUGGACUGUUGAAGAAGACUUCAAGCUUAUCAAUUACAUUGCUACUCACGGCGAGGGACGCUGGAAUUCUCUGGCUCGUUGUGCAGGUAAACUAUAGGUUUCUCUCCGUCUCUCUCUCUCUAACACCCCUUAAUUUCCAAUCAAAAUAUCAAUAACUCCAAUAUAUAGACGGCAAAGAGCCAAAGAACAACUUGACCAACAUGUCUCAAUUUGUUUUUGUCAUGCUUCUAUUUACCUUCAUAAUCUUCAAUGGGUCUUCCUUGUAUACUUCAAAUAAAAGGGCCAAAAUCUUCAAACUUUCCUUUCAAUAUAUAUAUCUAUAUAUAUAUUUCUCGUUGAUGAGAACUUCGUAGCUAGGUUCCUAUGUGGGAAUUUGAUGGUGUGAAUUAUUCUUACAAGAAUGAGAUAAUAUUGCGAUAGAUGAUUGUUCUUUACAGCCGUACAGCUUUAUAUCAAGACAACUUAAUCGAAAAGUUUGUGAAAAAGCACAUCAACUAUAAAAAGUAGUACUAGUAUAGAGCGAAAAUGCUCCGUUUUCUUUUCCAAUUAUUAAUUUGUUCUCGUAAUAACUUUACCAAAACCUAACUCGAUGAAACAGGUCUCAAACGAACUGGAAAGAGUUGCAGAUUAAGAUGGCUCAACUAUCUAAGGCCUGAUGUUCGACGUGGAAACAUUACUCUUGAAGAACAACUCAUGAUCCUUGAACUUCAUUCUCGAUGGGGCAAUCGGUAUGCAAUACUAACCAAACACGCUCUAAUUAUACUAAUUAGCAAAUGUCAUUUGAUUACAAGAAUGUUUUUGCUUUUAUUAAUUACUUUUAAUUUUAGCCGUAACAAGUAAUAAUAACAUUGCUAUUUAAUUUUGAACAAUUUGCAGAUGGUCUAAAAUUGCACAACACUUGCCAGGGAGAACCGACAAUGAAAUCAAGAACUAUUGGAGAACCCGAGUACAAAAGCACGCAAAGCAGCUUAAAUGCGACGUAAAUAGCAAGCAAUUCAAGGACACCAUGAGAUACCUAUGGAUGCCUAGGUUAGUUGAAAGAAUUCAAGCUGCGGCUGCCACUGCCACCAACACCAGCAGCACCAGCACUGCCACCGUCUCUGCUCCUGCCACCAAUCAGCACUCAAUCAGCAAUCGUGACGUGGGCACCGGGAACCUGGUCAUGGCACCACAUGGGAUCAACGGCAAUGACUUUGGUGUCUCACAUGUUACACAAAGUUACACCCCGGAGAAUUCUAGCACUGCUGCCUCAUCGGACUCGUUUGCUACUCAAGUUUCGCCUGUCUCGGACUUGACUACUGAUUAUUACAAUAUCCCGGUUAAUCGUAACACCAAUCCGGAUUAUUUCCAAGCCGGCCAAGUUGGCUACUCGGAGUCCAUGAUUAGUCCACCUGGUUUUUUUAACCACGGGUUAGAUUUCCAAGCCAUGGAGCACAGCAGCAAUCAAUGGCCAAUGGACAGUGGGGACACAUCGGACAAUAUGUGGAAUCUUGAGGAUAUUUGGUUCUUACAGCAGCAGCUAAACAACUUGUGAAAAGGGAAAAUAAUAUGGGUGAGAGCGAAGGUUAAAAUGCAGAGAAAUACAAGAUCAUGGGGGCUAGUAUAGCUAGCCAGAGAAAAAAAUCAUCUAUAGAAUAAUCAAUGAUACUUAUAGAAUUUGUGAUAGAAAGAGGGUCUAAUUGUGGAUUAUUUGGUUUGUAUUUCUCUCUCUUUUUUUGGUGGGAAAUUUGUAAUUUGAGGCUUUCUUAAUCUUAUUCUUUAACAUUAACUUUCAACUCUCCUUUUUUUUCCACCUUUUCUUGGUUUUUAAAAGCGCGGUAAGAAAAAAGAGUUCAGAAUUGAGUUAUGUUCUUUCUUCUUUUGUUUUGGAGUGAAUUGUUAUUUGCUAAAUAACUAUAGAAUAAUUUUUUUUCUUCAUAGAUUGCAUUAUAGAAGCAUGAUUUUAGACAAUUUUAUAGUAUAAAGAGGAGCGUGAUUGGCUCCACCAUCUUUACUUUUAGAUGUCAUUAUUUUAUCAGUUAUCAUUUAUAUCAUACUCUUGAAACCUUGGCCACGGGGCCUGAAUCAAGAUUAAAUUCCCUAAUUUCUAGAUUACAAGAAGUGAAGUUACAAUAAUCUUUCGAGACGUGGCGUUGUUGGGUUCAUUUUCUUGUGGGUUAAAAUAAAUAAGUUGGCCGUAAGGAAGUAGUUUCAUAAUUAAUUAUUUUUAAAAUAAAUAAAAACGAGCUUAUCAUUUUAAUGAUCAAAGCCCCCAGGCCCCCCCCACCCUAGCUAGUACAUAGUACUAUUCCAAACCCCCGUUUCCUUGUUUGCUUGUCAUCGUACGGACAAAGUGCUUAACCGGACAUGAUCUCAUAGUGAUUUAAUUCCCACGUAAUUGUUUGUUUUUCCGGAAAAAAUAAUGUUUUAUAUCAUUUUAAUUUGUUUGGCUUUGAAAUUGAUUUUUUUAGUAUUUUUGAAUUAUCUUAAUAUAUUACUGUCAAAAAUAAAUAAAAAUCGAAUUUUUAUAUAUUUUUAACAUAAAAAACAUUUUAAAAAAUAACCAUUAACACAAAAACAAACAUUAACAAAAUCCACCCAGCAAAACAUGAUUCCACCAUCCUCUCCCGCUCUCUCCUCUUCUUGGUAUUUCUUUUAAUAGGUAGAAAGAGCAGAGUUAGAAGUUAGGACUCGAGAUAUCCUCAUUUUUCCGUCUUCCAUUCUUUUUUUUUCACUUGCUUUAAGAGCAGAGUUAGAAGUUAGGACUCGAGAUAUCCUCAUUUUUCCGUCUUCCAUUCUUUUUUUUUCACUUGCUUUUGCAUACAACUCGGUCGAACUUUUAUAUCCAAUAAAGAUAAGCUAUUUAUAUCAAAAUUAAAUAAAAAAACUGCUGCAACCUUGUUUGAGUUUCGAACAUUAUAGACAAUAAAGAUUUAUCAAAAUUAAUUUAUAAAAAAAUAUCAACCAUUCAAUUAGUGAGUUCGGGAAAGACCCAUUACACUGAUCCCCGAUGGCAUUGAUUGUUCAAUGUAUAUUGAGCUAGAAGUCUAUUUUAUUUUUAAUUGGACAAAGGCAAAUUUGUAAAGAUGUUCAUUUGCUGACAUGACAAACUCGCCCUUGUUUUGAGGAACAACAAUUCAAACUUUUGAUAAGUUUAAAACUUUAAAGGAGAGGUGGCACGUGCGGGGGCGUAAAAGAUGUUCCCCUCCACGUGAUUCUAUAGAACAGGGUAGAGAGAGCCAGAGAGGUGCAUGGCGGCGGGGAAUCUUUGAAGGCGCGUGCCUAUAAGAGAAGCCAUCGAAAUGGUCCCCAGGGGACUGAGGUGUUACGGACCUGCCGCGUGUUAAAAAUCAGAAAACCACCGCCAAGCUGGUUGGGCCUAAGGCUAACCUUCCUGGACUGAAGCACUGAGGGCCGCAACCAUUGAAUUCUCUUUCUUGGAGAGAAUUCCAUGAAUGACGAACCUGUACUUUCUAAAGUUUGAUGGUUCAGGAUUUGCCCAGGAGCAUGCAUGUUGAUUUUAAGGGUAAGUGAUUUUUUUCUUCGCAUCAUAAUUUCAAAUUAACAUUUUUUUUUUUACAAAUAAUGGGCUGGAGUGUAAACAAACUUUAAAUUUUUUAAUGAGCAUCACCGAAUUAAGAUUCAUUAUAAUUUUUUUUUUAUUUAGCAAAAUUAGAAAUUGAAUAAAUACAUAUGAACCAAGUUAACUUCCAAGUACCUUAUCGUGGUUGAAUGACAUUUAUUGAUCAUUGUGAUGUAAGCAGUUGGCGUUUAACUAGCAAUCUAAAUCUGGAUUUUACCUGGUAUUCAAGGUUUCUAGUAAUAAUAAAUAAAUACAAACAAUAUCAUAUAACAUAAUUCUCCGCCGUAUAUGUACAUGUAUGAUAUACGACCAUAGGGUGUGUGUUGAUUAACGUGUACACGUAUGGCAGCAUGAACCAGGGAAGAAGAAGAUUGUACAACUGGACUCCACCAAUAGCUAUACGGAAGACUUGUCUUUCCGCCGCGUUGAUUUUCCUUUCAAGGGGUCGAAGUUUUCUUUGUUUCACUGGGGCCCUCUGAGUACGAAGACUUCUCAGUCAAAAUGUGGGGCCUUGAGUUACCCCACGUGGGCAUCUGAUCUUGGAUGAUGGGUCCCAGGCUCUGACUUUGUCAAGCAGUUCCCUUGGGCGUUGGUUUGGAGGGGCAUUCCAGCUUAUAAAAACCUAAAGCAUGCCCUUUCAUCGUGCCGCUACAGAUAAAUCAAUGUACAUGACAUUGUUCAAGAGAGAGUGUUAUUUUAUUUUUGUCAUCAAUUGUUUUUCUUUUAACAUCGUUUUAUGUAUUAGAAUUUAUUUUUUUAACAUAAACUCACACAUACAAGACAAAGUGUCAGAGAAAAUUCUAAAACUAAAUUAAAGAAUACUUUUGAAAUAAAUUUAAGAUGACAGUUGCAAAAGUUUUUAAAAUCAAUGAUAAAAAUAAAUAAAAAAAACACUUCGGGUUACAAUAGAUUUGUCUUACAAAAAGAAUUUUCAUGGAGGAAGUUUAAGACUUUCAUCUUACCAGAAAAAAAAUAGAUCGAAGCCAAAAAAAAAUUGUUUUAUUCAAUUUAAUUUCAGGUUUUUGUACUAAUAAAAAAGAGUUUUGAGGUUAAAUAUGAAUUUACUCAGAAUAUCUCGUAACUUUCUUAGGUUUUUAUAGGUAAUUAAAAACAAGUAAAUAAUGAUUUUUUUAGGGUCAAAAAAUUCAAACACUAACUUUUUAACUACUAAAAAUUGUUAAAAUUUUAAUCAACAAACGAUACCUCGUUUGUAUUGUUAAAAAAAUUAGGAUUGAUGACAUGUUAUCUAUUUAAUAGGCAAGUUAUUGUACCUAGAGAUAAACGUUUAUCAUCCUUUUAUAUUACCUUUUAUUUUUAAAUUUUUUUUUUAAACAAACCUCACUAUAAUAAAAUAAGUAAAAUCAUAUUUAAAAAACUUAUUUUUUUUCUUUUCAAAUAUGAUUAUAGCUUUUUAAUUAUGAGGAUAUUAACAAUUACCAUGUGAAUUAUUAAUUAUAUAUUAACUUAACAUGUAAAUAUUUUUUAAAAACAUGAUCAUGAAUAUCAAAUAAGAAUAAAAUAUCUAAUUUUAUUAUCUUUUAUUAUAAUUUUCUGACAUAAUUAUUUUUCUUAUAUUACGUAGCACAGAGUCAUGAUUUUUUAUGUUUUUAAUUGACAGUUAUUUUAUAAGUUUUUAUUUAAAAAACAAUGUUUAUGAUAAAAAAUAUAUUUUUUGUUAAAACAAAAAAGAAGUGCAUGAACAAAGAAAAAGAUUCUUGAUUAAAGAGAUACAUUUUUUCUACUUAAUUUAAAUGAUUAAAAUUUUUACAAGUAUAUAUAAUCGAUACUGAACCAAGCAUUAUUAUUUUUAUUGUUUAUAUAUAUAUUAGGCUUUAAUUUUGAAGAUGUGUAAUUAAUUUGGCACCAUUGAUUAUUUAACAAACUUUCGCAUUUGGCAAUUGUCAGAUAAAAUCACAUGCCACCAGAAAAUGAAAUCAACGCUACCUGUAUAAUCAUUAACUUAAUAAUUAAAGUGAAGAAAAACAUGAGAUGUGACCUUGACAGCUAUUUUUCCUUGAUAAUUCCCAGGAACACAUCUCAAAUUGUAAUGGAACUUCUCCUCGUUCUGGUUUUCCUCUUAUAUGGGUGCUUAAUUAAUUUCUUUUUUUCCUCUAAUAGCAAAUGUAAGAGACGAGCCCACAUGCUCGAUCUCUCACGAGACUGCAAGGCCGUCGAAUCCUAUAUACACACAUCAAAAUGGUUUCCACUUUCCCGAAUGGCACAUGUUAUAUAAAGACGAUAUAUCUUCUGCACUGCAACCCUUUUCUUUACUACUAUUUCAAGUACAACAGCGUCUCCAAAACAUCACUUCCUUUUCUUUCUCCCUUGGCACUUCCGUGAAGGCUUUCAUGUGAAAGCUAAGUCAUGUGAAAGCUAAGUCACUAUGCAGCUUAUUUGAGGCUACCAAGAGCUUAGCUCCACAGCCACAAGUUAACGAGUGGCUAGCAAAAGUUACUGGUAAUCUCUUUCAAUUUCAAGAUCAGGAACAGAAACGAACAGAAGAGCUUCCCAGCCCGUAACAAAUUAAGUAAAUGAUUCUUCUGGCCUUCCACUUUAAGUAGGAACGUAUGUUUUGAUUAAUCAUGGUUAUCCAUCGGUGGCCAAUUUGAUGAGAAACUUUUUCUAUAUAGAUAAUAGUAUGGAUUUGUAUAUAUCUUUGGUGGGGUUAUUUUAGACAAAAUACAAAAGAAGUCUUUUCAUGUAUAUAUGAUCACAUUAUUUUGGUGUCUUCCUUUUGUUUUUAUUUCUUUUUCACGCUAAGAAACAGCUUCUUACGUCGAGCAAUUCUUGUGUGUGUUUUGAAUCCUAGGCCUUAUCAUGUAUAUAUGGACCUUUUACGUUCCAUACAAAGUACAAACAAAAUUUUUAUUCUGUGAUUGCUAGUUAUGGAAGGAUGCUGGAAAUUCUUGGAAUAAUCGCGGUUGUUUAUAUGAGAUUGAUGAUAAUUUACUCCAAAGUUUUACUUUGUAAUAUUUUUGUGAAUCGUAAAUGGAAAAGUUAGGAGGUUUAAUUCUUCAUAGGAAAAACAAUUUAAUUAGUGGGUUAAGUCAAUGAUGUAAUUUUAACCAUCAUGCAGCGUCCCAUAAAGAAAAAAACAGAAGGGCUGAAAAACCCAGAGUCAUUUGUAUUGUUUACUGUUUCCAAUAUGGUCACCCCCACCAGCAUGCUUAUGAAAGCGAGAUUAAUAUAAAUCAGCAUUUCUUAAUAGCAUCCAUGAAUAACGCCAAGAUGGAGUUAGAACAAGAAUUUCUUCAUUGGUAAUUUUUAUGGAUUUAUAUCAAUACAAUAGGUAACAUCAGAAAAGGGUUGGUGUUAUUAAAAUUCUUUUAGAUAGAUGUGUGUGAGUCUAAAAGAUAGUAUUUAAAAAUAUAAUAGUAAUUGAUUUUUAAAAAAAUUUUAAAAAAUUAUUUCUAAUAUAUUUGACUCUGAUUUGAUAGAUAAGUGAGGAUUAAUUGCGUGCUUCGCCAGUUUAAACCAGCAUGUUACAUGUUCUUGACCCAGAGUUCUUUUUGAACAAUGUGAAGAACAAUGCCAUGUAACGUACGAAAUGAGCAAUAUGUUUUCUUGCUUGCUAAUAAUGCUUACGGCAUUGAUACGGCGAUUGUACUUGCUACUGCGAUAUGUCAGCCACAAUCUGAAACUUUUCCACCAUCCUUCACUCGUCUCUCUGUACAGAUAACUUGGUGACGCGGUUGUUGAUGUUCUGGGUUCCUAACGUUUAAUUAUAAGCAUAGUAAAGGAGAAAGGUUUGGAAUGUUAACAAUGCCAGCUCCUUGGUUAGGUUUUAAGUAUUCAUAUAUUCAGCAAUGUUCGAAAGUGAGGGUGUUGUUAUAUGGUUUGGCACCGAAAGGGUUUGGUAUGAGAAACAUGAUGCCAGAAGAAAGUUAUAACUUGCAAGCUAUCGAUAUCUACUACAUGUCAUGCCUACGCAAUGACGCGGGCUUGUGCAUUAUCGUGAGUUUGUGAAAAAAAUUAUAAAAAAAAUUAUAUGAAGAAAAACUGUUGCAAUUCAUAAUAUUUUCAAGGAAAAAACUAUAAAGCUAAAUUCUCAAACAGCUUAAUAUUAAAAAAAUAAAAUCAAUAAAGAUAAUUUUUAAAAAAAUAAAAAAAAAACGAAAGGGAAAAAAAACAAAGCACGGAAACACUGUAGCAAUCUAUAGUGUUUCAUGAGGAUUUUAAAGUUGUAAUUUUCAACCAGCUCAAUAUUAGAAAUAAUAAAAUCGAUAAAAAUAAUUUUCAAAAAUAUCAUAACAAAAAAAAAUCAUGUGGGGGAAUACUGUAGCAAUCUACAAUGUUUUAGAGAAAAAACUACGAAGCUAAAUUGUCAACCAGCUCAAUAUGAGAAAAAUAAAAUCGACAAGGACAAUUCUAAAAAAAAAAUCAUAAAAAAAGGAAAAAAAACAUGUGGGGAAACACUGUAGCAAUCCACAGUGUUUUAAAAGAAAAAACUACAAAGCUAAAUUGUCAACUAGUUCAAUAUUAAAAAAAUAAAAUCGACAAAAACAAUUUUGAAAAAAAAAACAAAAAAAAAGGAAAUAAAACAAAAAUAGAAGAAGACAAUUUUGAAAAAAAAAUAUAUUGGGAAAGCUAAAGCUCAAUUCUCAACCGGCUCAAUAUUGAAAAAAUAAAUUCGACAAAGAUAAUUUUUUAAAAAAAACAUGUGGAGAAAUACUACAGCAAAACAAAAAUCAUGUGGGGGAAACAUUGUAGCAAUCCACAAUGUUAUUUUUGAAAAAAAUACGAAGCUAAAUUCUCAACCAGCUCAAUAUAAAAAAAAAUAAAAUCGACAAAGACCAGUUUGAAAAAAAAAUCAUAAAAAGAAAGAAAAAAACCAUAUAGAGAAAUAUUGUAGCAAUCCACAAUGUUUUAAAGAAAAAAACUACAUAGCUAAAUUUUCAACCAGUUCAAUAUUUAAAAAAAUUAGCAAAGAUAAUUUUGAAAAAAAAAUUAAAAAAAAAAGUCAAUUUUGAAAAAAAGAGAGAAAACAUGUGAAAAAAAAGGAAUAAAAGCCAAAAAAAAACAUGUGGGGAAAGCUACGGUGCUUUCCCCACGCGUUUUAGAGUUAUUGAUAAUUAGUGUCAAAAUCAUGUUUUCAUAGGAAGAAUAAGAAAAAAUAUAAAUAAACUAAGAAAUAAAUUUUAAUUUCAUUAAGAGUUUCCAUGGGUCGCUCGAGGGGCAUGGUAUUGUGUUUGAUAUAUAACCAUUUCAAUUUAAGAUAUAAUUACACAUAAUUACCUUGUAAAACAAAAAAACAAUUAAAAGCCUGAUGGAGUUUCAAUGAUCACUUGAAUAAUGAAGCAUCCUUUUUUUUCAAUUCAACUAUUUUUUUUAAUUUUAUCUUUAAAUUUUUUUAAUAAUCAUUUAGGUUGUUUUGGACUAAUCAAAUUGAUUAGAUCACAUCGGAGUAAUUCUCAUAUUAUUUAAAUUUAAACUCAAGUUAGAUAAAAAAUCAAUUCAAAAGGUUUUUCUCCUAUCAUUUUCAUCGUUUUUUUUUUCAAUUUCAUUCUCAAAUGUUUUUUAUUAGCUAGUCAAGUUAUUUUUUAACCGAUCAAGUUGAUAAGGUUACAUUGAAGCAACUCUCACAUAAUUUAAUUUUAAACUCGGGUUAGACAAUAAGUGGGUCAAGAGGUUUUUUUGUCAAUUCCAUCAUUAUUUUUUCAAUUUCAUCAUCAUAUUUUUUCUUUGUUAACUGGGUUGUUUUUGAACUGGUCAAGUUGACUGAGUCGAUAUAUUGAUUCAACUCUUACACGGUUUAAUUUUAAACCCGAGUUAGACAAUAAAUUAAAUAAAAAAAAUCUCAAGGUUGAUCCGCAAGAUGAAGUUUAAUAAUAAUAUAAAAUAAUUUUUUAUGAUCUAAUUUUUUUUUGUUACAUCUAUUUUUUUUUAAUCUAACCCACAAUGUAGCAUUCACUUAAAACUAGUCUAUUAAGCUGUCUUGAUUUAAUUUCUCAUCAAUUACUCAAUUAUAAACAGUGGAAUCCAUAGAAAAAAACAAUUAAAAUUGCUUUAUUCCAAAGGCCGGGUUCGCAUAAAAAUUGUCAUUUCUUGCAAAUUAUUUAAAAGCUCUUGGCAGCUAAAAAACUUCAAACUAUAAAGAAACCUGGCCAAAAUUUUUGCUGUCGCCUUCCGAGGCCAAUAUCUUGUGAUAAACAAGGAUAACAUGUGUAAACGAAUCCUACGAUUUAAGAUUUCUCUACAACGCGGACUGGGCUGUCUUGAACAAGUGAUCUAGUUGCAAGAAAGGUCAAGUCAGCCGACACUCUACACCCACAUCACUAUAGAGAAUUUAAGAAUAGGGUAGUAAUUAUUUUAAAUAUAAAAACAAUUUGAAAACAUAAAAAAAUCAAUUUGAAAUAAAAAAAUAAAAAAAAUCAACUUUUUUUAAAAUAUUUUUUUUUAAAAAAAACAGAUGAUUUUUAUAUCAGGUCCCUACGCCACUGUAACUUGCUGCUUGGUGGAUGGAAUAGGCAAGCUUUCUUCAAUUAUUUACUCCUUUUCCCAUCUGAGAGUUGAAGAUUUUAUAUUAGUUAGAAUUAACAAACGUGGUUGUUAUAACUAAACGAAUGAUAAUUAGUUUUACAUUAUACUAAAAAAAAUAAUAAUCACGGGCCAGCCUCCUGAAUUUGAUAGAGUAAAAAUUAUUCCACUGGCAGGCAUCAUGCAUCCAGGGAAGAAGUUGAUCAUUGCUGACGCCAUCGAAAACGUUGAAUUCAACAUGAAAAAGUUUGACUCGAUAAUUUUGAAAAGAAAUGGUGGAGUGAUUACUUAGAAUAUUUUAUCAGUGUUGAUUUUAGCUUUGACGAAACAUGUGGGUUUAGUUUACCUUAAAAUACGAGUUGCUUUAUUAAACCAGUAUAGUCUCAAAAGGUGCGGUGUGUUCAUUUAUACAUGGGCCUGUAAUUUUCUCUGCCAGUGUAUAUGGGCCUAAUCAAAGUUAACAACUUCUGUUUCACGAGCCCAUAUUUCUCUACAUAUAAAUUCUAAGGGCCUAAUCUUCCUUCUACAUGGGUUCAUGAUACUGGGUAGUGCUGGCAGGCUUAUUUGAUACGAGUCGAUUCUAGUACGAACUCAAAACUCCAGAGAGUUAAAAAAAAAUGUACCAAUUUUUUCAGAUAAUGACAUUAAUUUAUCACCUUUUUUUCCCACAAUUUCUCCUUUAGUUUUUACCUGGAUUGGGCCCAAGGCAUUUGACAAAUCUGGAGAAGACAGGUGGAGAAUAUAAAAAUUAUCAGAGAAUUGAGCCACACCCCAACAAUGAUGAACAUGAGCUAAUACUGGAAAAAAAUAAUCAUUUUCUUUUUCUUUUUUAAGAAAUGGGUUAAUCACCUUUGGAUACAGUGAAAUUGCUAGCAGAAAGCCUCUUUUUUUAGAAAAGAAAUUGAUCCAAUCCGUUGCUGGUUUUACUAAAUACCUUUGGAUAUAAAAUUUCUCAAUGCCUCGAGAAAUGAAUUCGAGGAACUCCCGUCGACUGCCAGGAUUUGUUUUAUAUUCUCAGGGUGAGAUCCCUACUGUACCUGUAUUGUAUAAUUUACCAAGUCUGAAGCUUUGCAAUGGGUUCCCUUGAGCAUGUGUUGAUUUCCCAGCUGCUCCGUUGUAUAUUCCAAGCAAACUGCUUGUGUUCCAGCAAUUACACAUUAGGGCGAUCCAUCAUGAAAAGCCAGCCCAGCUAGCUAAAACGCCAUGCACCAACUAAACUAACUAUUUCUUGAGAAUGGAGUCCAAGUCCCUCAUGCCACUGUGAUUCGCUACUUGUGGAUGAGCACGCAUUCUUUUAGUUAUUCACUCACUCUCCGAUGUGAAAGCUGGAGAAUGUUAUAGCUAGAAUCAAGUAACAUGGCCAUUUUUACUAACAAAAACAAAUGCCAAUCUGUUUAGAUUUUUAUUUUAUUUAUUAAGAGUAAAAUAAUUUUUUUUUUUAGUUUAGCCUAUAUAUAAUUUUUUUAUAUUUAAAUUAAAUCAAUUUUUAAAAUUAUUUAUAAUCACAUUAUCCAGUGUUAAUAAGACUCUAACCUUCUCUCUCUCUUUUUUUUUGAAUUACUUAACAUAAUAUAAAAAUAUAAUUUCAUAAAAUUAGAUUUAAUUUUAAACACAACAGAUUUGAUACGUUAAAAAACAAAAUUGACAUGCCAAAUUCUGCGCACAAAAGAUUGAUAAAACGCUUAUAAAUGAGAAAGUUCAAAACUUUUUUUCAACAAAAAAAAAAUCUGACUUUUAAAAAUAUCGCGAUAAAAUUUUAGCCAUAAAAGUAAUUUUCUCUGCCAGAAUCAAUAUAUCUUUUUUGUUUCUUUUCUUUUCCUCUUACAUUAUUUUCAUGUGUGUGUGUGUAUAAAAAGACAAAGCCUGACGUUUCUUGAUUUCUGCACAUUUUCUUUACUGCGUCCGGAACCGACCUUUGUGGUCCCUUGUCAAAAGCAAACCACGUUACCCGUAAGACCAUCUUACCCUUUAUCCAAAACCAAAUAUUUGAAUAGUAUACUUCUUGCACCACCUAAGCUGCCCUUCAUUCUUUCCACCCGCUUUCCUCCCCCUCUCAUGUUUUUUAACUAAACACAACCUUAGCUUUUUUCUCAUCUAAAGUUUCAUGAUUUAUUUUCACACUCAAACCUCGUAAAAAUAAUUUAUUACAGCUCUCGUAUUCUUGUAAUUAUAAUAAUAAAUAUUUUUUAAAAUAAGAAAAUAAUUAAAAAACAAUAUAAUAAAAUUUAUAAUUUAAUUGUUUCAAGAAAGAUAAAACCAGUUAUAAAAACAAAAUAAGAUUGAUGCCUAGCUAUAAAAAAAACAUGAAUAUUUUGUUUUCACAUUGAUGAUGAUACAAUCACAUUUAUGAAUUGAUAAUACAUAAUAUUUUAACAUUUUCAAUGAAAAAUCCAUUCAUUAUCAUGUAAAUUACCCUUUUCUUCUAGCCAAAACAUAUUUCUAAGAUAGCUUUUACAAAUAAAAAUUAAAUCCAUCCAUUGGUGGGGCUACAUGUCACCACGAGAUGACUACAACUCAUGACAUUUUGGAAAAAUGCGAAGGCUAUUCGUGUAACAUCAUCUAAAAGAUCCAGAAGCACGAGCAGGGAUAUUAUUGUAAUAACAUACCACGUAGGCCCCGCACUCAGGAAAUGGGAAUUUCCUUCAACUCCUCUAUAUAAACCCAGCUGGGGUACCCCCUCCAAAAUCUAUCAUUCUAAACGCGGUCUCUCUCUCUCUCUCUCACACACACACAGCUUUUCUUCAACGUCUCUUCUAACUGUAAGUAACAAACUUUUCAAAUUUCAGUUCUUUUUUCUUAAUUAUAUCUUAAUUUUCAGUUUUUGUGUUUUUUUUAGUCAUUAUCUAUAUUUAAUAAAUACUCUGUUUUUCAUUUUUUUCAAGCUAGCAGAAGUUUAAUUACACUCUACAUUUAUAUAUAGAUAUAAAUAAUAAUAAAAAAAGAUAAAAAUAAAAGAUGAACAGUAGUAGUUGUAUUGGUAUCUCAACAAUGAAACCCUGUUGCAGAAUCAUAAUUAGUUACCGAAGUUUUUCACAUUUUGGGGUUUCUCUCUCAAGAUCUAAUAAUAAUUCAGUCAUUCAUACCAAUUUGUCGAAAUCACACCCGAAAUCGGUAUAUAAUCAUGAAUUCCACUGCUGUAAUAACCGUAGUUGGUCACAAGAUACGGGUCAUAAAUGUAUAGUUAAUCUGGAUCGCAGAGGUUUUAAUGUCUGCGAUUGGAAUUGGGGUCAUGCUAGGGGUUUUAGUUCAGGUUUUCUUGUCGAUAAGGGUAGUAGUUCAAGGGGUGUUUUAGUAAUUCCCAAAGUAGCGUCAGACAUUAGGAAUCAUUCGACUUCGGUAGAGGGUCAUGUUAAUACGAAAGGAUUUGAGAGUAUUUACAUUCAAGGAGGGUUGAAUGUGAAGCCUUUAGUGAUAGAAAAGAUUGAAACAGAAAGUGAUGUAGCUAAAGAAGGAAAAGAGGAAACAUCUAGUAAUAGGGUGGAGAUUAAUGGAUCCGAAGUAAAUACAAACUUCUUCAAGGGUUUGAAUGAGAGCACAACUCCUAAGGUUGUUGAGAGAGAGGUGUCUAAGAUCGAGAAGGAAGCGUGGCAGUUGCUUCGAGGCACCAUUGUGAAUUACUGUGGGAAUCCAGUAGGGACUGUCGCUGCUAAUGAUCCUGCCGACAGGCAACCGUUGAAUUAUGACCAAGUCUUCAUUCGUGAUUUUGUUCCAUCCGCACUUGCUUUUUUGCUUAAUGGAGAAAUGGAGAUUGUGAAGAAUUUUCUUCUUCACACUUUGCAGUUGCAGGUAUAUUAAGCCAAACAUUCCCUUACUUAUUUUUUUGCAUAUGUAGUGUGUAUUUUUGUCUGUGCUCACAUUUGAGUUACGUUCUGAUGUUCUGCUGCUUAAUAAAGUGGCAAUUGUGUUUGCAUUUGAAACAAAGAUCUGUUGCUUUGGCAUACAUUUGAUGUUCUUUUACAGCAUAACACUUUUGCAGUGGUCGCAUUGAUUCACACUUUUCAUGUUGCUUACACAUUUAUACUCACUUUUCAUAGUGCUUUCCAUGUUUGUGACUACUGCCUUAAAGAAUAGCCACCUUCUGCAGAAACCAAAUUUAUGGGCAACAGGCUGUGAUGAUAAUAUUGCCAACUCCAUGGAGGAUGCAUUUCAUCUCCAAAAAAAAAAAGUGACAAUAGCUUAGAACUUUAACUUGGGGAAGUUGAACUUUUGAAAUGAUGCAUCAAUAAUUGCAAUUUUCACCAAAAUUAGCCCAUUACAUGUUACAUUUUUAUGUUUAUCAAAAGAAAAAACACACUGAGAGAGAGAGAGAGAUUGCUUUUUAUGGGGGAUAAAAAGAGAGAAUGACAAGUAGCAAUUCUUCAAAAAUCAAUUUAAACUUAAACUUCUCUCUUGUGUAUGUCAGAGCUGGGAGAAAACAGUGGACUGUUACAGUCCUGGGCAAGGGUUAAUGCCAGCAAGUUUUAAAGUUAAAACAGUGCCUCUUGAUGGUAGUGAUGGAGGUUUUGAGGAGGUUUUGGAUCCUGAUUUUGGUGAAUCGGCCAUUGGGCGUGUUGCGCCUGUUGAUUCUGGUAAGAUAAUUCUUAGUUUUGUUCUCUGUACUGUAUAUAAUAAGAAGUCUUUCUGUGUUCAAUGAAUUGAGUAUUGGUCCAAAAUCUUAUCCUUAGUGCUCAGUUUCUUCAUGUCUUGUCUAUGUAUCCAGUUAUUUCCUUCGUCCAGUUACAUUUGUGUAAUUAUUGUAAUCUGAAACAUAUUUUCAUGACACUCACAGGGCUGUGGUGGAUAAUUUUGUUGAGAGCUUAUGGGAAGAUAACAGGCGACUAUGCAUUGCAAGAGAGGGUUGAUGUCCAGACAGGAAUCAGACUCGGACUAAAUUUGUGUUUAUCAGAUGGGUUUGAUAUGUUUCCUACGCUGUUAGUCACUGAUGGUUCCUGCAUGAUUGAUAGACGGAUGGGUAUCCAUGGACACCCUCUUGAAAUCCAAGUAAGUUAAAUAUUUUCAGUGCAGCCUUCAAUUUUGUUUCGCUUAUGUAGCACGUGGAAAAUUAUUUUUGUUGAUUAUGGAGAUGUUAUGAUGUUGUGUAAGGUUGAUAUCUGACCACACUGACCAAGGACCUGUUAUGCUACAACGCAUGCAACUAUUAUAAAUAUAGAAAAUUUAAACCAGUCAUUUGACGUGCUUAAGCUGCAGAAGUACAUUAGAUGGAGCUGUUGUUUGUUCCAGCAGUGAAUUUUUUCUUGCAGUUUUGUCAUUAUACUUCUGAGAAAAUUCUCCUAAGCAUUUAAGUUUUUGGAAAAAAGGAGUGCUCAAGUUUCUGAAGCUUUAGACUUUUCACCAGCAUGCUUAUGUUUGUCCUUGGUUUGCCAUUUGCUUAACUAGCAUACCUUUUCAGGCCUUGUUCUAUUCUGCUUUGCGAUGUGCUCGUGAGAUGCUCAUAGUCAAUGAUGAAACCAAGAAUCUGGUGGCUGCAAUAAAUAAUCGACUCAGUGCACUCUCAUUCCAUAUCAGAGAGUAUUAUUGGGUGGACAUGAGGAAGAUCAAUGAGAUCUACCGUUACAACACUGAAGAAUACUCUACAGAUGCAGUCAACAAGUUCAACAUAUACCCCGAUCAAAUUCCUUCAUGGCUAGUGGAUUGGAUUCCUGAGGAAGGUGGUUACCUCAUUGGCAAUCUACAGCCGGCUCACAUGGAUUUUAGGUUUUUUACUCUUGGGAACCUUUGGGCCAUCGUCUCUUCUCUGGGAACCUCAAAACAAAAUGAGGGUAUCCUAAAUUUGAUCGAGGCCAGGUGGGAUGAUCUCAUGGGCCAUAUGCCUCUUAAGAUUUGUUACCCUGCUUUGGAAUAUGAAGAAUGGCGCAUAAUUACUGGCAGUGAUCCAAAGAACACGUGAGGCUCCUAUUAUUUCCUGGGUGCUUUAUGUAGAUUGGCUUAGUUGCAUAGCGGUUCUGUUUAAUGUAAUUAUCUCUCUAAUUUGUUGCAGCCCAUGGUCAUAUCACAAUGGUGGAUCUUGGCCAACACUGCUGUGGCAGGUAAUAUUUGUCAAAGACUCAAAAUUGUGAUACUUGAAUGUUAUGUUCGGGUGUUGGCUUACAUUGCUGAUAUCAAGUCGUGAAAAUGUGUUCCAUAAUACAAUGUUGCUUGUUAUUCCAGUUCACAUUAGCUUGUAUCAAGAUGGGGAAACCAGAAUUAGCACAAAAGGCAGUUGCUUUGGCAGAGACGAGAUUAUCAAUGGAUCAAUGGCCUGAAUACUAUGACACUCGCAGUGGAAGGUUUAUAGGCAAACAGUCCAGGCUUUUUCAGACAUGGACAAUCUCUGGUUUCCUAACAUCAAAGAUGCUUUUAGAGAAUCCAGAUAAAGCAUCCUUGUUGUUCUUGGAAGAGGAUUAUGAGCUCCUGGAGAUAUGUGUUUGUGCACUAAGCAAAACUGGCCGGAAGAAGUGCUCACGCUUUGCUGCAAGAUCUCAAAUUCUUGUCUGAUUAGGUAUUUCCUGACCCGAUAGCUAUAUAGCGUGGUAAAAACGAUAACAGAAAAGAUCAUUUGCAGCCCUAACUCAAUAUUUUAAAGGGUGACUUCAAUGCGAUGACAGACAAACUACUCUGAAGUGCUGAUUGUUGUACCUCUUGUUGAAGCACAUGACUCAUUUGAAUUAGAUGGCUCUGUGUUUUUGAGAGCCUCUAACCUACUUGUAAUAAUGUAUGGUUUCGUGCUUGAAUUUCCUUUCGACCUUGGCAUGACAUGUGUAAACUUCUAUUCCAUAGAUAUGAUCAAUCCCUUUCUUGGUGUCACAAAUCAGCCUAGCAUUUUCGUUGACUCAUGUGUGGUAGACAAAUAUAAUACACGAAGUAUGUUUUUCAUUAUGCUUAAAAAUGUUUUCCAAUUGAAAAGUCAUUGAAUUUAUGCUUUUUAGAUAUUUUCUAAUAAUUUUAAUAUCUUCAAGAUAUCAAUUCUGAUGUUUUUCAUUGCAAUCGCAUUUCCAAAUCGAGUAAAAGAGCUGGUAUUUCCACUUCCACCUUGAUUCUAGCUUGUGCCCUACAAGAGAUUGAUUUUCCAUAUUCAAAUUUAUUUCACCUUCAUGUAACAUCUUAUCCUGGUAGGGCUUUCACUAUCGAUCUGCUCGUCAUGUGGAAAGAAUCCAUGAUAGAGCUAACCACCACCUACUGGCCACUAGACAGGAUUCAGAAGAAAGUUUUUUACACUGAUGACUAGACUAAGGUGAUACUACCGCACCAUUUACUCAUAUCCCCCGUACUACAACGCCGUCUCUGGAUAUCCUGUUAUAAGCAGGGGCAAUGAAAAGGAUAUCCAACAGCAAAAUUCUUUCUAGGGCAGGCGUACAGAAAGAGACACUAAACUUACAUAUUUACUACAUAAUACUCGACUAUCAAAAAACAAAAACUUAUCAAGCAACUUGCUCGUCUCCUUCCAUCCUGAAUAGACCAAGGCGUCUAUCUCCAAGUCGCAUAGCAUAAGCAGCUUUCUUGAAUUCAGCCCAGGUAAAGGGCUUGUAUAAUGCCGGCUUGGUGGGGGUAAUCAUUUCUGGUGGAACAGUGAUCCUCGCAUUGGGUGGAGGGCCAGCAAAAUAGGCCAUUGACAUUCUAGACUUGGAAGAGUUGGUUAGGGCUUUGUGCCUCACACUUACAAAUCUCCCAUUUGUCAUUGCCUACAAAAUUUAACAAGGCAAUAGAAUUAGAGACUUCCAUGGUUGAACAAAAUGGCACAUUGAACUGAGCAGAGGGUCAUGUAAAAAGUAAAUGAAAACCAGGAAGCGUACUUUGAAUCAACGCGACCAAGUACAAGGUCCGGUAGGUACAACGUUGUUUUCAAAGCUUUGAUUUUGACGAUAACAAUCAUUCAGUUCUAGAAAAUAUAAAUUUCAGAAACAGAACUUUCGGGGAAAAACCUGGUUCUGUAAAGACCUUACUUUAGGAACAUAUCUUUGUCAUCUUUUCACCAAUAAAAGAGACCCAAGAAAACCGAUAUUCCACAAAAAUAUCUUGGAAAUGAUUUAGUCAGAUCACCGAGAUAUUUCCUCGAUAACUUAAAGUCAGCUUCUAGGAACACCGUAAGCAACCAACCAAGGGUCAGGUGCUUUUCAGUUCCCAUUGUUCUGAAUCUAGUUGGUCAUUCAAUUACUCAUUCACAUAAUGUUCACUGGAUGGAAACUAAUGUUGUAGAUUUGGGUCCCAUUAGCAUCAAGAACCCAAUCCAAAGCCUGCCUAGAUAGCUACAGCUAGAUAGCUAGCUCAGCUAUAGGAACAGUGGCUUCCAUCAAAUCCCAAUCAACUUUUUUCACACUUGAUUAUGAUUACAAGAUAAGAGAAAAAUAGUGGACCAACCUGUAACAAGUCACCCACAUUAACCCAGAAGGUAGCGGGAUCAGGUGUUACUGGGACCCACGCACCAUCAUUUAAGGAAAUCUGAAGGCCACCCACAUCGUUGGAUCUCAAGAUGGUCAAGAUCUGAGGGUCAGAAUGCUCUCCGAACCCUACCUUGUUUUGGUUACAAGGUGACGAGUCCUCAUCCUUGCAGAGCAGAGGCAUAGGGGGGUAGUGGUUUAACCUGAUGAGGGAGUCACUGUCAACAUCUCUGAUUAGCCUACUAAACACUGAUCUAUCCGGGACCCGCAGCCCCUCCGCCAUCAGAUCUAAUAACUCACAUGCCAGCUCCCUAACUGCUUCUAUGUAAGCACUCACAGCGGAGCUGUGUCCAAGAGAGAAAAGUCACACCUUAUCGUCAGUGAAUAUAACAGUUUAACAAGGCUUGGAAAGAAAAGAAACCAUACAGUCGCGCACAUUAGACAAGUACGAUGGACCUGCUGCUCUGCUUCUCCUUUGCCUUUUCCAGUUUCUCUUUAUUAAAUUCCUUCGUGGCAUUAUUUUGGCAUUCGAGUUUCUUUCUUUAUUAUUUUUUAUUAUUAUUUCUUCUGAUUUGAUAAGACCAUCUUACAUGUAUCUGUCUGACUUGUCCAUUUGAUUCUCCAAUCUUUUCAUGCUAAAAGUACCUUAUCUUCGUUUUCUUUUCGAAUUUUCUGGAUUAAUAGUGAUUGUCGUCGAGAAAAAACUUUAUCAUGUUUGAUGCCACCAAGUAAAUUUUACAUGUGAGCCCUGACGUUUAAGAUUAGAUGGAUGAUGAAUAUUUUAUUCAGAGGAUUGAGACUGGACAGCUUCGUCAACAUAAAAUUUCUCUUCUUCUUUAUUUGAUUAAUAAAAGCGUAAGCAUUGUUUGGAUUUCACUAAUUCCAUCAUAAACCACUGGACGACAUUCAUGUAUCAAGGAAGAAUCAUAGACAAUUUUCAUAAGAGAUAAUCAUGUCAAUGAGAUGAGAUUGUAAUGUGAUUGGAUUGAUCCGUACUUUACCCCCCACAUGAGCCAUGUUUGUGUAGCAAUUUCUUUAUUUGAGAUGACAAAUCUGACACGGUAUAAUUUUUUUUUAACUAACUCAAAUUCAAACCCUAGGAGACUCUUGAUAAUUGUUUUCUUUUUCUUUUUUUUUUAUUUAUAAAAAGAAACUAUUGAUUGUUAAACCAGCCAGCACUCUUCCCUCUCCUCCUCUUCUGAGAUUACCGACCAUGCAACUUUAAGAAGACAUUAACCAGGAAAUGAACCGCAAUGUCACAAUACAUGAAACUUCUCUUGUUUUAAAAAUAGUCUUCCAAGCAUUAAUGGGGGAUGUUGACAAAGACAAAGGAGGCUAUUUUUUCAACUUUCAAGUGAAAGAAAGUUCUGGUAUGUUAUCUCUCACCUUCCAGGAGGACAUAUAUAAUUCCAUAUUCCCUUGUGAUUUGGUGUUUUAAAAUGGAUCUAAUAAUAACAAAUGCUACCGUGUUUAUUAAACAAAUCGCCCAACUGCUGAAUAAUUGUUUUUUCUAAUCAAGUAAAUUAAUAUAUAGAUAUUAUUAACAAGUUUUUUUACUUUUUAAUGUAAUAGAAAAAAAAGAUAAUAUUACAAUUACUACAUUGAAACCUAUUAAUUUACUUAAUUAGUCUGUGUAUAAGAUUUUUUAAAAAAUAACAAAAGAAAAAAAACUAAAAAAUAAAGAUAGAAAUAAAAAGAACGGUAGAAAUAAUUUUGUUCUAAAAAAAUGUAAAGAAAAAAAUAGUGAUGAAUUAUAGAUUUAUCAUCACUGUAUUACCAUUACCCGUUACAAUGAAAAAAUUAAAGAAAAUUUUAAUUGUUCUACUUCUACCGUAAAAGUGUGUUUACCUUUAGUAUAUAUAAUAUAAUUUCAUAGCUAGUACUGUUCGAUAUAAGGAAGCCCAGUUCUUUAUUUUCAUGUUCCUUUCAUACCAAACAUUACGACAAUAAUAAAUGAAAUUCCUAUUAUAGCAUGCACCGAGUCUUCUGGUCCCAUUAAAUAUUAAAGAAGGCAAGCUUGUUUCACCCUGAAAUUCAUUAAGAAAGAUUCCCGCAGCAAAUUAGAUUUGUUUUUCUUUUUUAGGAAAGGACAGGGCAUUUGAAUACUCGGGUUUAGAAAACACUGCUCAAUUUCAAGAAAUUUCCCAUCCAGCACUAUGUUUACAUAUGCGUGUGUGUGUGUGUAGAAGUAUUUGGGAGAUUGAACUAGCAACUUGCAUGGUGGCGUCAUUUUCAAAAUUCGGAAACACCCUAAUUUUAAUUUUAAAAAAACUAGAAGUAGUUUUAGUCUUCUCGGUUUGUAGAUUUUGCAGCAUUUUGUGUUUGUUAACUUUGUUCACCAAUUUCUUACAAGUAGCUGUGCUAAUCGUGUUUUAUCUCAGGUUCUCAAGGCAGCACUGAAAACCAAAGACACAUCAUCUCUUGCACUUUCAAGAAGUCGGUGGCUCUCGAACAAAUAUAUGCAUAAGAGUAAUUAACAUUGCUAGAUAUCCUUUUUUAAAAAUAAUAAAAAGCAUUUGCAAAAUGAAUUAUGGAUAACUAAAUGAAGUAGUGUUAAAUUCCCAUGUACAAUAAUGAAAAGUUCAGAGCAAUAUAAAGGGUGUAAGCACUUGCCUGAAUUUUGCAGGGUCAUUGGAGAUGGUUUUGGACCUUUCAGCUAUGGAGAGAGGGUUGAUAUUAAGAAGUAGAUAUUCCACCUCUCCCAUAUCACCAUUGAAGCCAAUAUUUUUGCAGCCAUAACCAAAGGGUUUGGCCGGCUCAACCUUUUGCUUUUCAUCGAAUGGUUUGGCAAAGAAGUUGAAACUUUCUUUCUCCAUUUGGGCAAUGAUGUCAUGAGGAACACCAUGGUUUUUCACCUUGAAGAAACCAUAUUCCUCACAGGCUUUGACAAUGAGAUUGGAAACCAUUGAUCUAUCUCCUGAGAGGUCUACUGUAGGAAGCUCAAUGGCCAGGUGUUCUUCACUGUGAAGUUUAGUUGGAGAUGCCACUACCAUAUCUCUAUAAUUAUAUAUCUCUGGGGAUACAGGAGAAAGGAAAUCAAGAGGAAGAGUAUAGCACUUGGAAGAUAUAGAAGAGAAGAAGAGAUGACGGUAUAUUUGAGAGAUGGAGAGACUAGGAAGAAGAAGGUGAGAAUGUGAGAGAGGGGUGAAGAGUAUUGCUUAUACUUGCUAUAGAUAUAUAGGAGAGUGAGUCUCAUUCAAAGAGGAUGCAGAUUAUUGAUAAAAUCAUUAAUUUCUUCUUCAUUUUUUCAAAUAUUAAUUUGUUUCCUUAUAUCUCUUGGGCACUCAAUAAUCUAAUGCUUUUUUGGGUGGUUGACGUACAACUAGAAAAAUCUUGUUUAAUGUAAGAAAAGUUGACUUGUUUCAUGGAUUGCUCGUCUGGAAUUUAUUUUUAUAUGUUUUCAUGGAUUUCCCUCUUUAAAAUCCUUUUAUUGACUAGAUUUCUCUUUAAUCAUUUUCUAUUUAUUACCACCUUGUUUUGACUUAAGGACCUCUUUUAUUUCUUUGACUUGGCCUGUGCUUCGCGGGGUUACACUUCGUCUUUGUUUGUUUAAUAUGUUUAGAUGAUAGCUUUUUAAAAGUAUUUUUAAUUAAAAGUAUAUUAAAAUAAUUUUUUAUUUUUUAUAUUGACACAUUACAGUUAUUAAAAAAAUUAAUUUAAUAUUUUAAAAAAAAACAACUUAAAAAAAUAUAAACUAUUACACUACCACAAAUAGCACUUGGUUUAGUCGUAUUGUUACCCUAUCGACGGUGAAUGCAUUUUGUUAGCCAUCACGAUCGGCUCUCUAGGAACCCAUCAAAUCAAAGGAAAAUUCUCAUUUCAACACAGUAUUUCUAAAUUUUUUAUUAAAAUAAUAUAAAACUAUUCUGGAUUCUUUAAUAUAUAGGAUAUACAUUUCACGAGUCAUUUGCACAUGUAUCUUAAUAUUUAAUAACAACUCAAUCUUUCGGUGUUUUUUACUAGAUCAAAUCGUUUUAUUUAAAUUGAUUGAGUGUGACCCUAGAGGUUUUUAUAUAUAAAAAAAAAGUUUGCUAAAAUUUAUAGGAUUUUGGUGAAUAUUUUCUUUUCAAUAUAAGAUAGUCCCUUCAGCAUCCAAAUAUUUUUAAAAGUUGGAUUUCAUUUUGAUUUUUUCCCUCCAAAUUAAAGGCCUUGUCGAAUUAAAAUCCCUAGUAUUUGGCAGAGUGUUAGUGGAAAUUAACUUCUGGAUUUUACACGGUGCCAAAAAAAUAUUUUCACACUUUUUUUUUAAGAUUCUGGGAAUUGAUUUUUUAUUAUUAUUAUUAUUAACGUGGAUGAUCGGAUCAGCUUGCGUGUACCUCGAUUAAUCUCAUAGGCCCUGAAGUUAACGAUCAUAUAAGUCUCUAGUGGCCUUAAAAUUUGUGAAACUCAAACUAAUAACUUUUAAAAAACAAAUUUAAAACUCAACCGUUGAGUUUAAUCCCUCUCGAAAUAAAAAUGCAGUAUGAGGGAUGUGGAAUUGAACCAGACUUUUGUUUGUACUUAAGGGCGUCGACCGAGACAAUAAGAAUACCACAUCGUCAAAUUCCCUCAAUUCACAGAUAAGAAAACUUGAGACAAAAAUGAAGUUUUGGGUUUACAUUGAAACACUCCAUAAACAUUAGGGAUAUGAGCGAUCCAAAUUGAAAUUGUUUUUGUUCUUGAUAACUGGAAGACAAAUAUAUCAUUUGCCCUAAAUUUCUUUUUCUGAGCGUGUAAACUUCUUUCAAUAAUUUAACCAAUCAGCUCCCUGGGCAUCAUAUUCCUGGCCUUGCCGGCCAGAAUUCCACAUGAAGCUCGUGUAGAAUUCACAAAAAUAUCAAAAAUACACUAUUACAUUUAAUAGUUUUAUCCACAGAAUUUUCUAUUAAUAUUUACACUAUCAUUCCGUCUACAAAAAUUUUACCGACAGAUUCAGGAUGGAAACCAUCUAUUGGUAAACCUUUCAUCUAUAAUUUCAUUUAUAUCGGCAAAAAAAAAAUACUAAUAGUUUUACAGACAGAAAAUACACGCCAAAAAAAAUUACCCACUUUAAUACACCGACAAAAUAAUUUCCUCGGUGAUUUGUAGUGGCAUGUAUUGUAAUUUUAUUCCAACCAUCUUUAAAAUACCGAUGAACUUAUUCAGUUAGUGAUGUAACAAUGUUGUAGUGACAUAUAAAGUAAAUUGUUUCAAACUCUCUGGAAUAUAUCAACGGAUUGUGUCUGUCGGUAUAUCUGUCUGUAAUAAUUAAAAAAAAUUGAACAAAAAAAGAAAAUAAUUAAUAAAAAAAAAUUGUAUAAAAAAAAAUUGAAUAAUGGAGGCACAGGAGGAGAAGGAGGAGGCUGGUUGUUCCCGGAACGAUACGGCCAAAAAGAGACGCACACGUACCACCCAUCUGUGAUCUCAUGUCCAUGACAAUUUGGAGGAGAUAUUCAUAAUUCGCUGAGAGUCGCUCAAUUUUUUUAGUGAGAAGAGUUGUAUGUUGUUGCAAGGCCGCAAACUCUUGAGACUGGGUGCUCGAUACGGAUUGCAAGCUCCCAACGGUUGAGACACUACGGGUCAUACACAAGUUCUCGACUGUAGUAUUGAGGAGUUCAUACACCCGAUUCCUAUUGGGUCCAUCAGACGAUCCUACCUUUAUCCACAAAUCUGGAUCAAAAUCCGGGUAGGUAGAAGGAUUGUCCUCGUAUCUCUCUCUCAACCGGCUGUUAUAUGUCUCUUGGAAAUAAAAACUAAAAUCAUUAAAUUCAAUUCAAGAAAAUAAUAACUUACAAAAGAAAUUGGUUGAACGAACAUACCACAAAGUGUUGAGAGCGGUUGUCGACAAACUGUUGCACCCCCUUUAGGUGGUCUUCACUUCGCACAUGCAUCUCCUAAAAAAGCUCCAUUAGGCUCAACUCACAUUCAAGAGUCGUAGCUUGUAAGAAAAAAAAUGUUGCAAGUUAUAUAUAUUUAUAAAUAACAACAAAUUAAUUAAAGAUAGAUGUGAUUAAAAUUAAUCUUACCAUCUGUUUCACAUUCAAAACGAAAGGAACGAAGCCGCCGGUGUGCGUGGAAACAAAGCCGUGAAUUUGCCGGCUCUGGUUCCCUACACCAGACUGCGAGUGUUGAAUAUGUUCCGCCCAUGUAUCCUCCAGGAUGUAUGACAACCUGAAAUUCUUCCAAACCACCAUGUCAUUCCAACCUGGCAGAGCAUUUUUCUUGUCAUAUUUUUUAGUUUUUUUUUUGUGCCUCAUACCAAAAAUCACGCAACCUACAUGAUACACACAUAUUCUAUAUGAGUUAAUGACAAAUGAAAUUUUAAUAUUUAAAAUAAAAAAUAAUUAUCAUAUUAUUUUCGUUACUACCUAGUUGCAGCGUAAUUCUCUCAAACCCUCCUCGCAGCAUUGUUAUUUUCUCUAUCCCAUUCAAAUUUACCCUUGCAUUAACAAUUUAUGAAAAAUAAAUCAAUAAUUUAAAUAAAGAAAAUGAAUUUACAUAAAAAAAAAGUUAAAAAUUUAAGUUCACACUAACCUUAAAUCUUGUAAACCAUGCAUUGACAUGAAGUUUCCAAUCAGGAUGCUUGAAAAAUCUAACUCCAUUAAACAAUAAAAUCUUCAUCGAUGAUUUAAACACCGAUGUUAUUACCUGGUCGGCCUCAAUGUUUGUGAACUAGAAAAUCGAUAAAAUUAAUGAAAUAUUAGUUGUUCAUAAAUUGUUAAACACAAACCAACUCAAAGUAAAACAAACUUACAUUGAAAUGUCGUUCUUCCAAUAUGCCUCAUACUUGCGGGUGAAUGGAUCCUGCUGUGAAGGGACACCACCUCUACAUUAUGGAACAACACUAGAAGAGGCAGCAUCGUGUGUCGAUGCAGGUGCCUCUUCUUGAUCAGACAAUGAAAUGUUGUUGUCAUCAUCACUAUUAUAAGAACUAGUUGUGAUCAUGUGCUCAUGACGUGCAGUUGAUUUUCCUCUAUGCAUCUAUACAAAUUUGAUGAAUAUUUAUGUAAUUAAUUUUUAUUUUUUAAAAAAAUCAGCAGCAUCUCCUUCAUGUUAGAAACCACCUAGAAUUUUCAAUCCUGUAAAUAUACAAAAUAUAUGCCACAAACCAGUUGAUUUUAACUUAUUUCUACCAACAAUUUUGAAUUAUUCAAUUUGAUAAUGUUUUUAAUCCUAAAUUGAAAAUAAUUUUUUGUAAUUAAAUUAAAUCCUAUAUAUUCAAUUAACAUUCAUACUAUAAAUUUGAUAAUAACAAUUAAAAUUCAACAAAAAACAAAACAUUAUUGCAAUGUAGACAAUAAAAUUAAAGAAAAAAAUAAUCAUGUAUAUUCAAUUAACAUUUAUACUAAAACAUUUGACAAUAACAAUUAAAAUUCAACAAAACAAUAAAACAUUAUUGCAAUGUAGACAAUAAAAUAGAAAAAUAAAAUAAAAUUUAGCCUUAUAUAUUCAAUUAACAUUUAUACCAUAAAUUUAACAAUAACAAUUAAAAUUCAACAAACAUAAUAAAACAUAAUUACAAAGUAGAUAAUAAAAUAGAAAACAAAUACAAAAACAAAUAUAAGCUUUAAGAAUGAAAAAUGCUUAGCUUAAUGACGUGCUUAAUUUUAGAGUUUAUCUACAUGUGAUAAAAAAACAAAAAAACAAAAAAACAUUGUUAAUAAACUAAAGAAAAGAAAAGAAAUAGGAAGAAAAUAAGUCAAAAGAUUCACCACACAUACCUUUUAAUCGUAUAGAUAGUAAGAACUUUAAGUUCUACUACUUGAAACUACAAUAGAAGAGAGGAUUUGAGCGAGGAGAGGAUUGCAAAAAUGAGAGAGAGAAAAUGAACUUCUAGCAUCCUCGCUGGGUUUUAUAUUGUGCUUUUACCAAGGGAACAUUAAAUAAUAUUAUUUUUAAUUAAUUUGUCAGUGAUUCACUCGGUAAAUUCACCUUGAAAUUUUUAUUUUGCACUAAAAUUUUCAAAAAACCCUUUAGAUUUUUGGCAGUUUGUCCAUGAUUUCAUCAGUAAAAAAGCAAGUAGUAUACAUUCAAAGAUGCAUUAAUUAAUAAGGCAUUGGAAUUCGCAGUCUGUCGGUAAUUCCCUUGAGAACCUGACAGUUACUCAAUGCACUUUAAUUGCCAUCAUCGACAUGAGAAGGGGCUCAGUUCCCUUCGCCUCUGGAAUACAUCGACGACCACGAUCUGUCUGUGUUUCCAUCGGUGGUUUAGAAGGUAUUUCGCUCUGUGUUGUUGACUGUGAAUAGUGUCAGGGGGGAGGGGAAUGGUUCUCUUCACUUUUGGAAUACACCGACAGACACAAAUCAUCGGUGUGUUAUGCACUGAAUAAUGUUAGGGAAAGGGGAAUAGUUCCCUUCGCCUUUGAAAUUCAUCAAUAGACACAAACUGUCGGUGUUUCCAUUGGUGUGUUGCAUAGUGAACAGUGUCAUGGGAAGGAAAACAACUCCCUUCGCCUCUGGAAUACACCGAUAAACACAAAUCUUUGGUGUUUUGCAUAAUGAAUAACAGAUUAUAUCUGUAUUACUUAUCUAUCCAUCCUGUAAAUACUUAAAUUAAAAGUUGCACGCAUAACACAAUAACACCACUUCGCAUAACAAUUAUAAAAUAAAUACUUCUUUGUUAAGAAUUCUGUCAAUAACUAUUACAUUAUAGUUUAUUGCAUUACACUUUCGUGUUUUGAUAGUUAGUCAGAAUUGACUUCUUCUUCUUCAAUUGACUUGUCGUCUCGCAAUCUUCUAUAGUGAUAACAUUGUUAUCAUCAUCUUCAUCGACUUGUGCUUAUCCACUGGAGCUGAGGACAAUAUUUAACUCUUCAGUGUCAACAUCAACAAGAAUUUUAUCGAAGACGCAAAAAUUUGAAUUUUCUUCCAAGUCAAUCGAUGGAGCAACUCCUAGAAAUGAAUCUCCUAAAAAAUACUUCGCUUUAUUCAGUUGUGGGUCAAACCAAAACUAAGAAACUUUUGCUUACUGGAUUGGAAACCAAACACAAUGUUACCGUACUAUGACACUACGUCAUACAAUUCUUUACCGAAAAGACGCAGGGGUGCAACAUCCUUUUCAACUCUACCAAUAAAAAAAUCAUUUAUGUUCUUUAUGUACCUGUGAUCCGUUAGCAAGAAACUUCGGUGGCCGUAAAAAAAGACUAUUUACCUCCAUUUAUUAGCAUGAAUGCCUUGUUAUUUUCCAUGCAGUAUGGACAUGCUUGUUUUCCAUGCGUGUUUCAACCAGAAACCAUUCCAUGAGCAGGAAAAUCAUUGAUAGUCCAUUUCAAAGCUGCCUUCGUGAGAAAAUUAUGUUUCGUUGAUACAUCAUGAGUCAACGUCUUAGAGGACCACAACAACAUCAAUUCAUCAAUCAACGGUAGAAGACAAACAUCUAUAUUUAGGCCUUAACUGUUAGGAUCGGGUAUGACCGUAGAUAAAAACAUGAACUCUAGCCUUAUGCACAUCCCUGGUAGCAAGUUGUAAAUCGUUAGUAUAAUCGGCCAAUAUGAAUAAAAAGCAGCGAAUGACCCAAAUAGAUUGAAUUCGUCUGUACAUAGCCUAAGAUGCAAGUUCCUUGAUUCAGCUGAAAAGUGAGGAUGCAUAUUGUUAAAGUGUUUCCAUGCUUCAUCGGCAGAAUGGUGCACCAUCACUCCAUCCACUGCAUCCUGUGAUUGAUGUCAUGUUGAUGAGCAGUUUUUGAUUACAUGAAUAACCUCUGCAGUCUAGGUGUGAUUGGAAAGUAUCUAAGUUUUUUAUGUGCUACAAGAGUAUUUCCCUUGCUAGUUCUGGGUUUAUAACGGUAAUGCGCACAUGUCUUGCACUCGGUCAGCUCAGCAUUUUUAGGGUAGUACAACAUGCAGAAGUUUGGACACAUGUCAAUUUUCUGGUAUCCUAGACGAGGGGUUUCAUCAUGGACUUAGCAGCAUGAAAGUUAUCUUUCAGUACGUUCCCUUCAAGUAAAAUGUUUCUCACUCAUUCAAUAAUUUUUUCAUAACUUGCCUCAGUCAACCCAUAAUCCAACUUGAUGGUAAAUAUUUGUGCAACGAUUAAUAAUUUACUGUGAUUUGUGUUGUAAUCCCAUAAUGGUUCGUCAGUAAUGAUGUCGGUAUAAGUGAUAUGUCACUGUACGGUUUUCGCUGUUUGAAUCCAUCUGUAAUUAUGUCUGUAAAAGCGUUUACAAAAAAUUACACGUCAUCGUAUUUUUUUUUAUUUUUUUAAAUUCUUUUUAUUUCGAAGGGGAUUUACCGACGGAUUUGACGAUGAAAUCAAUUCGGUCGAUAAAUAUCACUCUAAAAUACUGAUAUAUUUUUUCCGUGAAUAAUUUUAUUUGUAUUCGUAGAUUUUCUGGUAGGGAUAGACAGGAAACAAACAUACUGGUGAUAAUUUUGUUUGUAUUCAUAGAUUAUCAUGUAGGGAUAGAUAGGAAACAAACAUACUGUCGGCAUAACGUUCGAACUGUUUCAACAAUUCAUUCUUUUUCCCGUUAUAUAUAUAUAUAUAUAUGUGUGUGUGUGUGUGUGUGUGAAAUCACAGGAGUGUCCUAAGCUGUUAUCAUAACAGCGUACCCCCUUCCAUCUCCUUUUCGUGGUUCUUAUUAUUCCACGUUUUUAGGGAUGAAAAAUCACGUUUCAUGAACACGUUAGAAAAUCGCUUAUGAAUUUUUCUUUUCCAUUUUUCCUCCAAAGCGAAAAAUUCAAAAUUCUUAGCUGAAUCUACAUAUUCAUCGAUCCUCGAAUCCAAAGUCCGGUCUAUAAACACGUGAGUUAGACAAAGACACGGACAUAUUCAACGGGGCAGAGGCAAUAGUUGGACGACGCUAGCUGCAUUUAUUGAUUGACUAUGCAACAUACAUAAAACGGUGAGAAUUUAGUUGAUCGAGUAUUCGUAAAAUUUUAUUUAUUUAUUUAUUCCGUUUAAAUUAAUAAAUUAUUAAUAUCAAAGGCUUGACGUGAUGACUAAAGAGGUUGGUUCUUUAUUUCAUUUUACAAAUCCAAAAAUUAGUAUUAGAAUCUAAAACAGUUUAUUAUAUUUUUUUUAAAUGUAUUAUAUCGAUGUGAUGGUGUGUUUUUAAAAUUGUUCAAAUAUAAUUUUUAAUAUUAAAAAAUACACUGAUAUCUUCUAUUAUCGAACUAAAAAAAUAAAUUAUUCAUGGCUUCUUGGAAGAGAAAAUGCGAAACUCAGUAGUUUAUGCAUUUCAAAUUAUUCUAAUCUAAAAAUUAUUUAAUUAAUUUUUUUGAAGUGUUUUUUAGAUGAUUUUAGCAUGUUAAUAUUAAAAAUAAAAAAAUAUAGAGAAAAAAUAUAUUAUUUUAAUAUUUUUAAUUAAAAAUACGCACACUUAGCCUGUUUGGUAUUGCGGUUGCUGUUGUGGUUGUGGUUUGAAAAAAGUUGUUUUAUAAAAAGUACUUUUAGUUGAGGUUGGUUUGAAAAAAUAGGUGUUUGGUUAAAACUGUGGUUGAAAUUGAGGUUGAAGAAAAAGUAGUUUAAUGUGUUUGGUUAAAAAAAUGCUUUUCAAAUUGAGGUUAUAAAAUAAUUAAAAAUAUUUUUAAUUUAAAUAUUGUAGAUUUAACUACUAUUAUUACAUCAUGAAAUAAAUAAUAUUGAUAUCAAAUAUUUUUUAUUAUUCCAUUAAACUAUAUGCAAUGUCAUCACAUACGAAAUAUAUCCAACAAUAACUAUAUUUUUCAUGGUUUCUUAAGCACGCAACAACAAAAAAUACAUUUUUUGUUACGUCAUCAAGCGAUCUCCUUCUAAUUUUUUGAAUAAAACACAAUUAAAAUAACUGAACUUUUUUUAACUGGGUCGGACCCGGCAAGAACAUAAUUGGAAUUGCGAUCAAAUUCCACAAAUGCUACGUCAUCAUGCGAUAUCUUUCUAAUUUAUAUAGUGUUAUUAAAUAAUAUUAAAUACUAGUUUUUCGAGUAAAACUUAAUUUUUUUAAAAAUAUUUUACAAUUUCAUUACGUACAAAAUUCAUUCGAUAAAAACUACAGUUUUCAUGAUUUUUUAAGCAUGCAAUAAAAUUAGUUAAAAUAUUAUCAUAAAUAAAAUUGAGAUUACAGUACGAGUAAAUUUAAUUCACCUUAAACUAAUUUUUUAAAAAAACAAAAAAAAAUAUUAUUCAUGUUCACGUGAAUAGUACGAGUAAAAUCACUUAACUGCACUAGUUUUUCAAAAAAAAAAAACUAAAUGUUUCCUGGUUUUUUGAAAUAAUAAUAAAAAGAAAAAACUAAACUUUUCCUGGUUUGUCAAAAUAAUAAUAAAAAAAAAACUAAACUUUUCCUGGUUUUUCAAAAUAAUAAUUAAAAAAAAAACUAAACUUUUCUUCAAAAUAAUAAUUAAAAAAAAAACUAAACUUUUCCUGGUUUUUCAAAAAAAAAAAAAUGAUUUAAGUUUAAGUGUACAGUGCGAGUGAAUUAAUUCACUCGCACUGUACAGUGGAGCAUGGCUCCACUGUUACAGUGGAGCCAUGCUCCACUGUUUCAGCUUCUUGCCUCAGGAGAAGCAGCCAAAUGCUGCUUCUCUAAAACCUGCGAUUUCAUUUUCAUUUGUAGUGGGUCCUACCAGUGAAAAACAGUUUUUUCCUUUUACCAAACGAUAUUAUGUGUGGCUGCGGGUGAACCUCACCCGCAGCCACACUCCCAAACGGCCACUUAAUUCCUUAUAAUUAAGUAAAUAAUUAUUUCUUUUAAGUUAUACGUAUUAUAUUUGUGCUGUUUAAUGAAUAAAACCAAGUUAUAUUUUAUUUUUUCUCCGAGAGAAUACUAGAAUUCAUUUAUUUUCGUGUUUUAAAAAAUAAUUUUUUUGUUUUUUUAAAGUGUUUUAAUAUGUUGAUAUAGGAUAUAAAUUUUUUAAAAAUAAAAUAUAUUAUUUUAAUAUAUUUUUAAAUAAAAAUUACUAUUAUAAUAAGAAUUAAAAAUUAAUAGGAGGAAGUCAAACAUAUCAUCCUGACACGAUAUCUAACAACCCACCAUCAAAAGAAAAGUUGGAACAUUGAUAACUUACAUGAAUGAAAGUCUCUAGCCCACUAAAAAACCUAGCUUUGGAAAAAAAAGGUCCCUUGAUCCUAGAAUCGACUCACCAGACUGGUUAUAUUCUUGAACAAAGUACGACCAUUGGAAGUUGUUCGAGAAAAAUUACUACAUAAGUUGGAUUCACAUGGAUCAAAUUCAAUAUGGAUACUGCAUAUUUUAGAUCUUUAUAAUGUUACUGGUUUGACUCACAUGGAUUAGGUUGAUGUUAUAAAGUUCCUAGCUAUUUAUAUCACAUGCUCGCCUUAUGGCUACCUCGUCCAAUUUAUUUAUUUUAAGAAUCUAUUUUUAGCAACCUACUAGUAAUUUUCAAUAAAGUGAAUGAUAAUGCUAAAGACAGCAACGCUCGAAUGAGUUCUUUUGCUUAUUUAGUGCUGUGCUCUUUAUUAUUUCGAUGAUAUAUAAUUGAUUCGAUAAAUUUUUAGCACCAUCGAGCACUGUUAGACUAUAAGUUUGUAUUUCAGAUAUUACUAAUUUGUGUAUCAUAAAUUUAAAAGAUUAAAUGGUUAUUAACUUUAAAAUCUUGAUGAAUUAGUUAAAAUAUCUGUACGUUGGCUGAAUAUAUAUAAUUAAAAAAUAAAUAAAUAAAGCUGGCGGUAGAUGGAUAAUCUGCAAGGAAGGGUCAUCGGGUCAGAGCAGAACGCUUGAUAAAGCAUCGCAGGCACUAGCUACAACCGACCUCGUUUUCGGUUGGCACUUGGCAGUGACAAGGUUUUUUAUAGAAGUAUUUUACGAGGUGUGGCUGUGCCUUUUCAAUUCAUGAUCCAUUUGAGUGCGUGCGUGUGUGUAUUCACUAGUUAGAAGAUUUUAGUUCGAGACCCACUUCUAUAAAAAAGAAGUGAAAGCGGUAAGUUUAGUGGCCUUUUUUAGGCAAUAUUAUAGAAACCAACCAAUUUGUUUAUUUAUACGUAAGAAAAGCCAAACACGUUCUUAGAUAGCCACAUAGGUCGUCUAUAUUCACGCAAUCGCCAAACGCCUGCGUCCUUCGAUUAAUUAAAGGAUCUACAAGUCAAAAUGAUGGCGUUUUAUACCAUAAUUGCAAAAGAGAAAAGCUAUUGAUGCAUUCUGUAUUUCUAUAUUUCUAUAUAUUUACGUGCACGUCAAGCACCAUGAAUUUUUAACGUGAUGGUAACUUGGUAGCAUUUUACUACUUAAUUAAUACUCAUCGUUCUUACAUGUAUCUAAUUUUUUUAAAGUGAGUUUCAUUAAAUAAUUAACAAAACAUUAUUAGUUAUAAUUGGAGUGCCAUAAAAUUUAUAUAGUCAAGUGUUACUAUUUUUAUUUUUUUAUAUAUUUAGGAUAGCAUAUCACUAGUUUAAAUAUCAUGGUUAUAUAAGAUCGCAUCAUUUUUUUUAUUAGAAUUAUUUAGUAUAUUUAUUAAACAUUUUUUUUAUGGAUUAAUUUUAAAAUCUAUUGACUCGAUUUUUUUUUAUAUUAAUUUAAAAUUAAAUUAUGUGAAAGUUGUCUCAGAGUGAUCUAAUCAACUUGAUCGGUCUAAAAACAACUUAAAUAAUGAUUAAAGAAAUACAAUGAAGAAAUUGAUAAAAAUAUAAAAAAAAAUUAAAAAACAGAUAAAAUAUACAGAGCAAUUGAAAAAACAGAAUAACUUGAAUAAUUAUAUGAACAAUAAAGCUGCGAAUUAAUUCUUAAUUCCCAAGUAUUUCAGUAUUAAUUGUAUAAUUUCCCUCCAACAUUUUCUUAUCAAAUUAAAAAAAAAAACCAAAAAUAUACACAGUAAAUCUACUUAUAAAUCUCAGAAAUAUCUACUGGCUUGAGAAAUCUCUAGAUAUUGAUUCCCCGUGAAAUACUUCUAGAAAACAGCAAAUGUUAUUUUCAACCAUAGAAACAUCUAAUGAUAUUAUUGUAAACAUCGUUGGAUGGAAAGAGAGAAUCUUAUGUGAAAUCUCAGUUACCUAAACCAUAAUAUAAUCGGAUGUCAGCAAACAUAAGUUUUCGAUAUCCCUAGAAAUGGACGGAACAUAAACAUGUCUCAAUUGAUGUCGCAAUCUCAAGGGAGUUGAUGUCAAGAAUAAUUUCAAAAUUUCUAUCAUAUGCCCGUGUUGCUAAUCAAUAAGUAAAUUAAUGGGCCACCCAAUCAAGCAGUCGAGCUAAUCUUGUGCAUCAAAUAUCAUCGACACUGUCAAGUGGCAGGAUAUUUUGUGACAUAUUUCAAGUGAUUAAGUUGGCUAUUGCUGGCACAGCGACAAUUAAUUGAAAUGUUUGAAAUAACAAAAAAAAAAAAACUGGGCAGCUAUUAAGAAAUCGUCUGGAUCUCAAAAUUUAAACCGAAAAGAUUUUAAUUAGAGGAGAUAAGGAGCGAUUGAUGGGAAUUAAGCACCACUCCCCGCAACAGCCAAAAUUAAAAAAAAAAAACAAAUCUAUUUCAUUUAUAUCAGGUAAAGAUGAUUGAAAACAGGUUGAUCAUACUGGGAACUCCAUGUUCUCUGUAGGGACAUCUUAGCAAUUAGAGUAUUGGAUUUCCACGAAAGAUCUUAGAUUAAAGUGAGAAGUCAACAAAGAUCAAGAGUAAUUAGAAAGUUAGAAUAGAAUCACUGGAUAAUAUCUGGAGUGCUUUGAGAGUAAAUCCUAGUCAAUACUCAUGAUGGAAUAAUCUGGGAUCUGAGGGGUACCCAAAUGAGCAACACCUGUGCAUAAAAAUGCACAGAGAGUGUGCCGAACAGCGUGGAGGGGCUGCAAACUUGCAAAGGGUUCAAAUAAAAACUGAAUAAUUGCUGGGUUUAUCUGGCCCGGGUAAAUUACUCAUUUCGGGCAAUGUCAAAUCCCUUUUUACGUUCACCUAGCCCAAUACUUGGGUGGGUUUUCACGUUAGAUCUCAUCAAUUUGGGUGCAUCUCCCAUCAUUAGUUCUGAAUCUUGUCGCAGGUUUGGGACUUCUGGAUCCCGAGACUAGAGGUUCGUGUGGGCAUUGAAUUGGGUUUUGGACGCCCGGCUUCUCAGUUUGUGACCUGGGCGGUGCUGGCGGGGGAGGGUGGCGGCUAGGGAUACUGGCCCAGGUUAUCAGAGGAUACCUCAUGCUUAUAGCUUUGUUUGUUUUUAUAUUUUAAAUGUAUUUUUAAAAAAUUUAAAUUUUUUUAUUUUUAUCUUUACUUCAAAUUAAUAUUUUUUUGUGUAUUUAGAUAAAAUAAUUUUUAUAAAAUAAAAAAAAUUAUUUUAAUAUAUUUUCGAGUAAAAAAUACUUUAAAAAAUAACCACAACCGCACUUCCAAACACGAUCUCUUCAAUUCGAAUUCUAAAAUAAGAUCUCAAGAGCUAUUUAUUUAUUGUCAGCUCGCCUAAAGCUCAGCUAAAAAAGGCCCAACCAUGAGCAUGAAAACUACCUCUAGGAUGGAUCUAUUGAACGUUAAAAUAGCAAUAUUAGUAGUGGUUUUUAUUUUUUUUAUCGUAAUAUCAGUACUGAUAUUAAAUGGUUUUUUGGCGUUGGUGAUUCGGUACACGGUAGAUUGAUUUUGUAGAUGUUUUUCAAGCUUGGAACGGACUUCUUUAUGAAUGAGAGUUGUUAAAAGCUUUCGAAGCUUUUAGGCUGUGGAGAACGGCCCUUGGGCCUGUUCGGGCCCGGUUGGAAAACUGGGCGUUCAGGCGUGUUAACUUCAAUUUAUCUUGAUCGUUCGUUUUUUGUCUUUUUAUGAGCCUUUUUGGGAUAGUCCUUCUAGUUUUAGCUUUCCUUGCUCUUCAAUCAUCCCUGAAUCCUCUUGAGUUUCUAUAGUUUUAGGUAUCAGAGACCUGUAACCUUUGGAUGCUUCGUGUCCAUUGUAAAGAUAUAUGCAUUUCAUUUGCUUCCAAAUUUCUUCUUCCUUGAUAGGAGCUUGCAAAAAAAUAAAAACAACACGUAUUUACAAAAAAAUAUUAAUGUUAAUGUUAAUUAGUAAGGGCUAAACAUGAUCCAGUCGCAUUUGGUUUGGACAAUCUCAGAACAUGAUAGCUCGUUGUUGUUGUUGUUGUUGUUUACAUUUUUAAUUACCCAGCAUCUCCUGGUGCAUGCUCUCUCAUUUACUCAAAAACAUCCAUGUGCAUUAGAAUGAUCUAUGGCGUUACUAUCUUGAAAAUCUCUUUACAUAGUCAAGGCACACAGAAGCACUCGGUGCCUUGAACCCCUGCAGAAGGUAUCUGGUACUAUGUUCAAUUAUAUUUUUUAAAAAUUUUGAAUUUUUUUAGAUUUAAAUUAUUAUUUUUUAUGUUUUUGAGUUGUUUUGAUGAAUUAAUGUUAAAAAUAAAUUUUUAAAAAUAUAUAUUAUUUUAAUACAUUUCCAAACAAAAUACAUUUUUAAAAGAAAUAUUUAUCAUAUUCUCAAACAAUUAUUAAUUAACAAAAACUAAAGCUAGCAGCGUUUUCAAUAUACAUAAAAUCAUUGUUCACUCUCUCACAAAUCAUUACGAAUUGGAGUAAUGAUUUUGUUAAAAAUAUUUGAUUUUUAAACUUUUGCUUUGCACAGUUAUGUCCUUUUGAGUUGAAAUUAGCAUCCAAUUUCAUGUUUUUUUUAGGAAGGGUUGAAUUAAAAGAUAUAGGACUUAAAUGAAAAACAUGGAUAACAUAGGUGGCGUUUUCAAAUUUGUUUGUGAAAUAUAUUUUAAUCCCCCAUUUUUUUUUUAUUGUGAGGUGAUUAGUUCCUUUAAUUUUUUAAAAAAAAACAUUUUGGUACAAAACUUUAUUUUCUUCUUUUUUUUUCAUAGGAGGAAAGAGAUGAGUUGCUGGAUUCAUACGAAGAGAGAGAAAGCUCUUUGUUGAUGACGAUUCUAAUCACUAAAUAAGUUAAAAUUUGUGUCAACGGGUUCCAUUAUGUGAGAAGAGUCUUAUAAUUAUUGUUUUAAGUCUCAAUAUGGCAAAGGAAAAAAACGCAAAUCUAGGUCAAGGAUGAAAUACUUUUUUUCAGUAUGAUUUAGUGGUUUAGAUCGUUUUUUGAGUUUAAUGGGUUGGGAUAUUGGUUUCCUGGUGUUAUAAGGGUACUUGUAAGGUGUUUGUGGUUAGAAUAAGUUGAAAAAUAGUUUUUUUUUGUAAAAAAAAUGUAGGUCUUAUUUUUUGGCCACUACAUUGGUGGAUGGAGCAUGGGUUGGCAGACGACACAUCAUCUGUCACGGCAAGCAAAGUGUCCUUUUACUAUUUUUUUUUUAAAAAAAACAUGUUGUCUACCCCUCUUAAAAAAAUAAAAUAGCUGACCCAAGCGCAUGGGCCUAGUGUCAAGGGCCUUGCACCUAAGCUUUUUCUAUUUUGGUAAUCUUUUUUUUAAUUAAUACAUUUUUUUGUCUUUUUAAAUAGUUUUAAAGUUUGAUUUUUAAUUAAUAAAUUAAAAUAAAUUUAAUUUAUGUGAAAUAUAUAUAUAAAAAAUACAGAUAAAUCAUACCAAUCUCAUGAAAAAUUAAAGACACUCAUUAUAAUAAAGAAAUAAUCGUUAUUUAAAAAAUGCUAAAUAAGCAAAAAAAAGUAUGAUUCAUUUGUAUUUUUUUAUAUAUAUUUCACAUAAAUUAAAUUUAUUUUUGUUAAUUAAAAAUAUUUAUUUUUAAGAUAUUUUUAAUAUGCGCAAUUUUACAUGGUAUUUUAUUUUAUUUUAUUCUAUUCAAUAAAUUUUAUGUGUCUAUUAAUUUUCAUUACAAAUUAAUUUUAAUAAACAAAUUUAUUAAACACAAUCGGGUUAAUGAUCCGUAUUGCGCUAUUAAAUAUCUUAAUUUAUAUUUGUCUUUGAAGUUUAUUUUUAUUUACCAUCAAUUUAUUUUUCUAUAUAAUUAUCUCGACCUCGUGAUCUAUCACGCACGGUAGACAUGUAAUCUUGACAUAUCUUAUAUUUAUGUUAUGGAUUUCACGUGUUAACCCACCCGAAGCAAUAUUGUUUUCAUUUAUUUUUUAUUAUUGCUGCCUAUUUUUUAUUGUAUUAUCAAAAUUAAUCAAAAUUUAAUUUGAUCAUCCAAUAUAUAUCACUUAUUUAAAAACAUGAUUAUCCUCUUCUUCUUUUUUCAAAUUAAAAAAUGUUUAGUCCGACGACGUCCCACCAUUCUAGUCACUCACUAGAUAUGUCGAUUGCUGGCUAUGAGAAUCAAGGCACAAUUUGUUAUUCUCGUUACUUUUUCGAAAACCGAAGACAAUUUACUAAUGCAUUUCGAGGUACUUUCCCUUCGGUGAGAAUCUAAGGCCAUGUUAGACUAUUCUCCCCCCUCUUUUUUUUUUGGCCUUUCUGUCAAAAUCAGGCUGUAAAUUUUCCAUCAAGGCAUUAUUGAGAGGUAAUUGACAGACGUCAUAUCCCCAUCCCUUUCGAUGUUUUUUUUAUCCUGGCCAUACAUGCCUUUUCAAUGGUCGUCAAAGGAAUGAUUGGAGCAAAAGUUGAAAAAACCUCAUAAGUGACCCAUGUUAGCAUGUUACCCAAGGAUGGUAAAAAGUGGGCCCAAUGCUGGUGAUACCUACCUAGCACAAAAAGAGAUCAGGAUAUACAAGUGAAAUCACGAGGGCCUUCCCCCCCCUUUUCUUACGAAAAGAUAAGAAAUGUUUCGGACUGUUUUUUUUUAUAUAUAUAUAUAAAUAUAUUAAAAUAAUUUUUUUUUAAUUUUUUUUUUGAUAUUAAUACAUCAAAAAAAAUUAUAAACAUUAAAAAUAAUUAAACAAAAAAAUUCAAAAAUUACUUGAACAAUAUUUUUUAUCGCAAUUUUGAUAUUUUUUUCCUUGGAUUCAGAUUUCAAAUUUCAAAAAAAAAAAAUUGAUGUUAAGCCACUUAGGGAUUUUUUAUUAAAAUUUAAUAUGGUUUGUAUGUUUUGGAUCGUUUUGAUGUGCUGAUGUCAAAAAUGAUUUUUAAAAAAUGAAAAAACAUCAUUGACAUGCAUUUUGGCACGAAAAAUUAUUUAAAAAGCACUCGCAACCACACUGCCAAACACGCUAUUAACAUCCCAAUGUCUUACCUUCAGUUUCCCAAAAAUAAAAAUAAAAAUAAAAAUAAAAAGUGAGGGUUUCUAUUCAAGCCUAACUUCUACCGUCACUUCAUUUUUUUUUUAUAUAUUUUUAAAAAUUUUAAUUUUUUUUAUUAAAUUUAAUUUUUCUUUUUAUUUUCAAAUUAUUUUAAUAUACUAAUAAGCGAUGGCCUCAGGGGUAAAGGUCAUUUAGCUUUUCAACGCCCACUUGCGGAACAUCAUCAUUUUGCGUUAGAAGGCGACCAUCUCUAACGUCUUUUUGGUACUCAAAAUUCCGAACCCAGUCUAAAGAGAUAAUAAUUAGAAGCAAAUUCUUGCCUUGAUAUUAGAAAUGUUUUUGACUUCAUCAGGGGAACUAAUUCUUCGUAUCAAAUUCGCAUAAGAUACUUUUUCAAUCGUUUGUGGGUCUCUCAGGAAAUCAUGCACUGGCGAAUUAGCUCCAUGUUCAUGAACAGAAUUCCUGGUCUUUCUAGAGGGCAUUUCGCUCCAGUAUUUACACUUGUAGUUCUUAUUAAAAAAUAAAAUCUCAGUGUAGGACUAAUACUUCAUAAUAUAUAGUCCUAACUCCCAUAAAAAUCUAUUGGAUGUUUUGCUGACUUGGAAUGAGAUAGCUUCACCGCUGAUCUGUACAGUAACUAAUGUACCCGGGGUGUUCACAGUCCGGUUCGGUCCGGUUUUAACCCAAAAAUUCAACUGAACCGGAAAAUAAUAUUCCUUAGUAAUAUAACCUGAACCAAACCGAGAACCGGUUCAAACCGAACCGGUUUUGUUCGGUUUGGGUCGUUUUUUAGCAUAAAAACUAGACUAAUCUUCAUCAUUGAGCUACUCAGAUUUUCUCGCAUGAAUUUCAUUGUAAUUCUAUAAAAACAUCGUUCUCAAGGUGAGAAAAUUUCAUUGAUGGCUACUAAAUCCUUGACUCUGCUCAAUCCAACAUAUAAAAUACUCCUCGAUCCCUUCAGGUUUGAGCAUUAAGCAAUGGCACAGUACAAAUCUAUCCUGCUCUGUAUUCUUCUCAUAUGAAUUUUAUUGUAAUUCUAUAAAAGCAUUGUUCUCACUGGUGAUGGCGAUGAGAAUCAUUUUUGAAUAAUGGUUCCCUCACAUCUGGAUUGUGAAACUUGAAGGGGAAGACUGGGAAGGGAAGGCUUGAGGGGGGGAAAGUGAGUGAUUUAGGGUUCUGAAAAGGAAAAGGAAAAAAGAGGAAGGCUUGAGGGGGGGUGGCUGGUGGCUCGAAGAGAAGGCUUGAGGGGGGGGAAAGUGAGUGAUUUAGGGUUUUGGGAAGGGGAAGGCUAGAGGGGGAGGGGGGGUUGGCGGCUGGAAAGUGGGAAAGUGAUUUAGUUAGGGUUAGGGAUGGUUUUUUUUAAUUAUACUUUUUUUAAACCGGUUCGGUUCGGUCCUGUUCAAUCGGUUUAAGCUUUUUUAAACCAGAACCGGAUCGGGUGGUUUUUUUUUAUUUUUUAAUCGAUUUAUUCGAUUUUUUCUAUCGGUUCGGUUUUUUCGGUUUAAUCGGUUGAUCGGUUUUUUUAAACACCCAUUGUACCCUUAGAAAAAACCUAUUUUACCCCAACCCCAACACCAAGGCUAAUGAUUUUUUUUAAAAAAAUAAUUAUACUAUUGCGAUGUAUAGAAAUACAAUGAAUUUUAAGUUUUUUUUCUUUUUUUAGAAAAGAAAACAUUUGAACAACUUUUGUAAGUUUAUUGAACGUAUUUUCCACUACUUGUUGGAAAAAAGUGCCAUAAGCUUUUUGAAAACCAAAAACCUAGAGAUUACCCUAACAUGCUCUAAAUUCUCGGACUGGUAAGCUCAAAGCUUCAUCUAACGACGGUAAAGAGAAAUAAAUGUGAAAUUAGAUUAACAUCACUGUCAAGACACAUUUCCUACCUAGAAUUCUCGCUGAUAGGGUUACAAGUUCUUCUUGAAGAAUAAUUGGUCACAUAGAAUUAACAAGCUUGAGUGAGGGUGUUAAUUUGGUCCCUUCGCCUGCAAAGUUUUUAUGAUGUUGAUCAUAUGUUCCAACUGUAGCGUAGGAAUUUUUUUUUAUUAUUAAUGUGGAUGUUUGAAUCUAUUUGUGUAUAUAUUUUAAUUAAUUUUAUGGAACUGAAGUUAACAAUCAUAUAAACUUUAAAUUUAUAAAAUUCAAAUUAAUAAUUUUAAAAAAAUAAAUUCAAGAUCAAAGUAAUUAAAUCACCCCUUUAAAAAUUUAAUAUCGUAGGAAUCUGGAUUAAUCACUGCGUGGAUGUGAAGUUAACUUGGUCAUGUCAGUGGGACAAUACCUUCGUUAGAUGAUUCAUCAUUUUGGAAAUUGUAAGGCAGGCCAGGUCACCUCAUCCCAUUGAAAGCUUAGCUUGAUGGUAAAAUAUAUGGCAGGAGGAGGGGGCUCAGUUUGUGGAUUAUUGCAUGGUUGUUAAUUUUAUUUUGUUUUAUUUGAAAUGAUCGAAAUAUUUUAUAUUAAUUUAAAAAAUAAAAUAAAAUAGAUUAAUUUUCAUCUUAUUUUAAAUCUCGAUCUGUUCUGGAUUUUUCGAAUAAAUUUCGGCUGGAAUGUUCCAGUUUCAUUUCACAUGUUCCGUUCCGGGCUUGAAAAGCCAUUAAAUCAAAUUGAUAUUUUGUUUAAAUUCAAUUACUUUAAGUUAAAGUUCUAUUUAAUCUUAACUAUUUAGGAAUAUUAUAAAAUUUAAAAUUAUAUUUGUUUGAUAUUGUGUUUGUAUUGUAUAAUUUAUAAUUAAUUUAUUUUAAAUUUAAAUUAUGCUUGUUGAAUUUUUUAUAUAUAUAUAUAUAAUUUUAAUUUUAAAAUAUACACCAAAACAUUUUAAAACUAAAACAUUUUAUUCCAAUUAAAAAAAACAAAAUAACUACCAAAAGAAAAUUGAUAACCUUGGUUUAUUUUAAAAGAACCGUUUGUUUGUGCCCAUGUGGUGCCUCUCGAAAUAGGACAAAGCAUUCUCAAUUCUCAUAAUUGCAGUCAUUUGGUAGAAAAAUCGCGGUACUCAAGAUGCAGCAGAGCUAAUUUUUUUGAGACAGAUAUUGAUGACGUUGGCCAGUCUAGUAGUUUUAGCACCAGCCUUGUCCGUGAAGAGUAAAAGUUCGAAUUAAUUAAGUUUGCAGGAAAGCAGCAAUUGACUGUUUAUUUAAAAGAUAAUUCCCCCUUUUUUUUUUUAACUUGGAGUGUUCGGGUCAACUUACACGCACCACAACAAAUUUCCGGGUUCACUGAACAUCCUGCAAGCCCAAUAAACAUAUAAGACACCACAUGGAUGACAAACAUGUACAGUAAUGCUUGAACCCUAGUGCAGAGAAAGGGAACAAGUUCUUUCUACCGCUGGGCCACAACCACCCGAUUGAUGAUGAACCUGAUCUAAAUUAAUCUUAAGCUAUUAACUUAUUAAUUUAGAUGAUAAAUGAGUUAGAUAUAUUCCCGUAUUUCCAUUUAUAUUUAGAACACAAAAACAUAUCAAUUUAGAUAGCAAGAAUAUGUUGUAAGAAAUAAAUUUCCUAUAAACAUAUCAAUUCAGGUGCGUAUGACUUGCUGAUUGGUGAAGAACUGUAUAAUGCAUCUGAAUUAUUAUAAAAGAAACAUAAGGUUUUCUUAACAAUUUCUAAUCAAGUUACUUGAAACCAGAACAAGUGACUAUAAAAAAGAGAGAGUUGUAUUUCAAAGAGUUGUUUGAAUAUAAUUAUUUUAAGGAUUUAAUUUGACUUAUGUGAUGUUAAUUGCAACUUAAAUUGAAGUUAUUUUAGAUCUGCGUGUGUUUGGGAUAGAUUUAUAAUGAUGUGUUGUUUAGUUUUUUUCAGACAAAAAAAAAAAAAAGUAAGUGAAACUUAUUUUUGGUCGUGAUUUUUUUGCAUUAAAUGAGCUGUACGUCAACAGAAAAAGUUAUCUUACCCAACUACACCAUGUUUGUCAAACACCCUUUAAUUUUUUAGAAUAUAAUUUUAUACUUUAAAGUUUAAACAUCAUGGAUACAUGUUUUUAUAAUUUUCAAAAUAUAAUUUUAUAUUUUAAAGUUCAAACAUGGAUUCAUGUUUUUAGCAAUGUGACGUAGGGUAUUUAAAAAAAAAAAAUUAAUUAAAAUACUAUUUUUUUUUUAAAUUUUAACAUGAAUACCGAAAGUAAUUUAAAAAACAGAACCAAGAUAAAUGGGACGCCGCCUGCUUCUGUGCACCAAUCAGUCCUCUACUGAUGAGAGCAUAUAUAUCAAUUACUACCAAAUCGAGUUCAAAUCUUUUUUAUCCUACUUUGUCAAAUAAACCGGUGUUUCUGUCUUGUCUUCCACUGUUGGGUUCCUUUUCCAUCUCUAAUAAGCUCAUCGGUCACACUUAUUAAUUAAUUAGGUGUGGGGAGGGGGAAAAACACCCCUCAAAGGGGUGACCAGCUUUUUCAUAGACUGACUUUCGUGGUGCACAAAGACUUUAGGGCACGGAAAGAGACACGUCCAAAUAUACAGUGGAUACAUGAAUAUUUUGUAUUGUACAUAAGAGCGGUCACGAGGAUAACUCUUACACACUUAGAUCUGAGAGAAUAUCUACUUACUUACGAAACAAAACAUAUAAAACAACGAAACUGAUGUCUGCAACAGCAUGUUUCUGCACACACAUACGCUAACAACAAUCAAAAUCGAUGGCCUUAACGUCCAUAGUAUAAGAAAGAUAGGGUAUUUUUAUUUUUACCGAGAAAGAAAGACAAGGCAUUUUUACAUGCGAUUCAAGUACUCUUCACUCUUGACAGCUCUUACCUCCUCAGAGAUCUCUUAGCUCAAACAUGAUUCUUCCUCCAAGAGUUUACAUGUAAGAAAAUGUGAACCUCGCAUGGUAAAUAAGGCUCCUUCGAUCGCUUGCAUGACCUUUCAGAGGUUGUUGAUUUGUCUUUAAUUGGGUGAUUUUGAAGGAAUACGUAGUCUAAUUCAAAUAGCUCAGGAGGGAUAGAUAAGAAAAGAGAAGAUAAGUUGGAUGAAAAUGGGAAAAGAUUUUGUCAAAAAUCUAUAUCAUAAAGUUUUGAUAUAGAGUAAAUGACAAUUAAAAAAACAAAAAUGAAGAACGAAGAACAGGGUCUUACAAGGUCAAGAAAAGGUCUUACAAGGUCAAGAAGAAAAAAGAAAAAAUAAAUGAAGAAGAUAUAGCAAAGAAAAAGCUCAGGUAGGAUAGCACCCAAUUAACAUGAAAAGCCAUCUUUUCAGCUACCAGUUGAAAGCCAGCAAAGAAUCCAUCUGCAAAGUUCUUUUCCUGGCUUGUAGCGUAGCACGUGCUAGCUUUGUUCAUUCUCUCGAACAGGUUCCCUGUAUCGAGAAUCAUAUCAAAUACAAGAAACUUAAGGAAUAUAUCAGUUUUUGCACAUAAAAUCAAGACAGUGAACAAAUGAUAAGGUCACAUGCUCCUCCUCUAACUACAUACAUAAAAUUACAAAUUUAAGAGCAUAAAGUAUCUGAUCUUUCUAUCAAUUAUUAGGAAUACUACUGAGACAAGUUGAACAGGACAAGAUUUUAUACAAAUACUAUAUAUAUAGAUAGUGUUGACUUCGAAUAACACCAAAAACUAUGAGCUCUUGACAUUCCAUAUAUAUUUCUUACGACUCCAUAAAGGUUUCCAUACCUUGCAGAAACUUGUGCCUUUCUUUCACCUUUGAAAGCCCCUUUUCUCUUUCCCCCAUGUUGGGGGAGAGAGAGACACAGAGAGAGAGAGAGAGGGCAACGGAGAGUGUAGUGGUAGUUGCAAUAUUACAACGAAAAAUGAGGAGUGGCAACAGGUAUAUAUGAAGGGGACGAGGCCAGUUG